rnacentral:lncRNA from 1 species
GUUCAGAAGAAGUGAAUCAACUUGUUAUGCCUUUUAAUGCAAAUGUGAAGACUAUGAUUAACAAUCUUAAUGCCAAUCUUCCUGGUGCAAGAUUCACCUUCAUUGACAUUGCCCGCAUGUUUGAAGAUCUCCUCACCAAUUAUAGAUCAUACGGUAUGCAAUUUUCCCACUAAACAUAUCGUAUUGUAGUUAGAUAUGAUGUGUGCUGUCUGGCCUAAAAUCUUUUAUUUUAAAAUGUGCGGACACUGACAAAAGAUAAUAAAGAUUUCGUCCUCAUAUUUUAAAAUCAAGGAACAAUUUACAGUGGCUGAACUAGGAGUUUGAUUUGACAAGCACGGCCUAGAGGUGGAAAUAACGGAGAAAUUAUCGUCUUGCUGUGCUACAAUAAAAGCAAGACAUUUUAAAAUUAAAUUUAAAUAAGUGCAUAAAAUAAGCAAAAUUUUACUUAAUAGAAUAAUGUUUAUGAUCACUUUUUUUUUUUUAUCCCAAAUAAUUCUACAGGAUUCAGUGUAAUAGAUCGAGGGUGCUGUGGCAUUGGACGAAACGGAGGCCAAAUUACAUGUCUUCCAUUCCAAACACCAUGUGCAAAUCGAGAACAAUACGUUUUCUGGGAUGCAUUUCACCCAACAGAAGCUGUGAACAUUAUGUUUGGAAGAAAAGCUUUCUAUGGUGACCAGAGCGUUGUUUAUCCCAUGAACAUCCAGCAGCUUGCCAGUCUUUAAACUUAGAAAUUAAAGGGACAUAUAUGUUAUUGUAAUGUUUCUUGCUUGCUUAAUUGCUUUGCAUAAUUAGCCACCGGUGUCUCGUCUGUCCAUGUGAAUUUUUACUUGUUUAAUUUGCUUGUGGGAAGUUUAUGUAAUCAAAGAACAAGUUGUGAUUGUGUUUUAUUGUGUUGCUAGUGGUUCAGUAAUUGGAACUACUUCGAUUAUGUUUUGGUAAUUGAUUUUGCUAGUUUACUAGUGCUUCAGUAGGAUUUUUUUUUUUAAAAUUAUUAACUUAUGCAUCUAUUGAAAUCUGAACUCAAAACUUAAGCCCCAGAGAAAUUGCUUGUUACUGUUGGAAUUAGACUUGACUUUCGUAGUUUAUUAAUCAACUUGCUUGCUAGGUAGCCUUGCCAUAUGAUAUGGUUUGCUAUCUUUUGGGUGGUGAUGUUUCCCUUGCAAUACCCCUCGCAUCUGUGUAAGGACAUCCAUCUAACUUCAUUGAUAUUUUUGGAAGUUAAACUUUCAUCCUUAAUUUGAAUGAUUGAAAGAUAAUAUAUAAUUUCCGCCUCGGUUGAUUCAAAAAGGGUAGAUUUAAAAGAGAGAUUGAUUCAAAACGAUUAAAUUAAACGUUCAAAAUUUUUUAUAAAAAAUGCAAGAUAUCCGCAAACUGUCUAAAAUACAAACCUUUAAUAAAUAAUAUUUUAAAUGAGAUUAUGGGUGGACCAAAAGUCCAUGUACCAAGCCCAAGCAAACGCGCAGAUUUAACAACCCGUUUGGAGCAGCUGUGUUACCAAAUUAUUUAUAGGUUUGGGUUCGGUUACAAAAACUCAAUCACAAAAAUAAAUCGUAAAACCCUUUUUAGAAUUGUAUCCUUCUUUAAAAUUACACUAUAGGACAAAAUUAAAUCUCGUUAAACCCAGCGUAAACAAUUCUUUCACCGAUAAUUUUUCUCCUGUACGUAUUUACUUGUGUUAUCUUAAAGUUUAUAUGAAAAUUAUUGAACCUCAAAAUACAACUACAGAAAAAUCUCAAAAGCCCGUAACAACCCUGUCAAAAAUCAAAAUAGGGACCUUGCUAGAAGACCAUUCCCCGUCAAAUUCCCUUGAAACUUGAGUGGAUAUAUGAUCGAGCAAAAUAGAGAAAAAAAAUUCAAUUUCAGCUUUAAAGUUGUUGUGAACUGGGUACUUAGAGGAGUGCCAAUAGUCCAACUCAGUUCAUAUUCAUGUAGAUUUGAGAUGAAAAAAUAAAUGCCACAAAAUAAACUUAAAUGUUGAAAACUAAUUCUAACCCAACCUGAAUAGAUUUUUAUUGGAAUUUUUUGGUUUAAAUUACUCAAUAGUUUUAGAGUGGAGCUUCUAACAUCCCAUUAAAACUCUUAAGAAACACUACUUAUUCAUUUUUAUAUCUAUUUUUUAUGAAAUUACAAAAAAGUCUACAAGAUUACAAUAGAGUUUUAAUUAAACUUCAGUAUCGACUGUUCUCUUUUGGAGGUAAGCUAGUACUCAUUCGGCAUGUGCUUUCAUCUAUGUCGCUUCAUCUUUUUCAUGUCCUACGGCCGCCUGCUAUGGUCAUUCAGAUCCUUGAGAGGUUAUUUACCAGAUUAUUAUGGACUGAUACGGAUUCUCGGUAGCGCAUUCAUUGGUGCAGAUGGCCAUCUGUCUGUUUUCCAGUGGCGGAGGGUGGUCUUGGAGUUCGUUCCUUUUCUAAUUUGGCCGAUGCUUUCAAGAUGAAGCUAUGGUGGCGAUUACGGGACCAACACUCACUUUGGGCUUCUUUCAUGAAAUCUAAAUAUUGUAGAACUGAGCAUCCAAGUAUGGUUCAAUUUCGCUAUCCUGCAUCUCCUCUAUGGAGAAGAUUAUGAUCUAUUCGUUGUAUUCUUGAACCUCAUAUUCGUUGACUGGUUAGAUUGGGUGAUAGUAGUUUCUGGUAUGAUUGCUGGCUUGAAUCUACGCAUCUCUUUCAUUUUAAUCCUUCAGUAGCUUCUAUGGCCCCAAUAUCUUCUUUUUGGUGUGGUGUGGAUUGGGACAAGGGGAAGCUUUUAUCAGUACUGCCAUCUUUAGUUGUUGAACAAAUUUUGUUAGUACCGAUUUCUGGUACUGGUCCAGAUAUACUUCGUUUGGCAAUAUUUAGGGAUGAGAAUUUUUCUCUAAUGAAUAAUUGGGAAUUUGUACGUGGAUCCCGUAACCAGAAUGAGGUUUUUUCUUUAAUUUGGCAACGACAUAUUCCUUCGCGGGUUUCUUUUUUCUUGUGGCAUUUAUUGAAUGGUUUCUUGGGCACGGAUGAUGCUUUGUACUUGAGGGGUUUUCACAUGGUUUUUCGGUGUCUUUGUAAUGGGGAUGUUGAAAUUGUCAAACCCUUAUUUUUGGAUUGUCCAGUGGUUCAAUAGGUUUGGCGGUGGUUUUACUCAAUGAUUGGUCGUCCGUAUCUCCCUUUUUUGUCUCUUCAUGCUUUGCUUAGUCACUGGCGACGGUGUUGCCGUUCUUCAAAACAUAUUGAGUAAUUCUCCCAUGUUUCAUUCUAUGGCAUGUUUGGAAGGCUCGAAACACUCUCAUGUAUGAUUCAGUUGCCUUUAAUGUGAACGUUGUUAUUUUUAGAGUGCUCGUGGAUAUUAGGCUAGUCAGUGACGCGUUUGGUUUCAAGACAUCUCAGUUGAGGGGCAUUUUGGACACUCAGAUUGGGGAGGGAUUGAGAAUUAUCAUGCCUCCCCGUAGACCACCUCGAUUGGUUUCUUGGAUGAAAUCGUAACCGGAGGUGGUGAAGUUGAGCGUGGAUGGUUGUUCUAGAGGAAACCCAGGUAUUGCUGCUACUGGUGGUGUUCUACGAGAUCAUCAAGGCGUGAUAUUAGCUGCUUUUGGUUCCUUUUUGGGGCACCAAUCUAUUCUUUUUGCUGAAUUGAUGUCUCUGUUAGAGGGUUCAAAUCUUGCUGCUCAACUUGGUUUCUCUGAUCUUGGGGUAGAAUCUGGUUUAGCCACUGUAGUUUCUUGGGCUAUUUCAAGUGGUUUUGUGCGAUAGGAUUUUAUUUACCUCCUUGGGUGUGUUCAGGCAUUGGCUUCUAGCCUAUCUAUUAUUAUUAGGCAUGUUUUUCGAGAAGCUACAUUUGCUGCUGACUUUAUGUCCAAUUGGGCUUGUACUCAUCAGACUUGUCAACGAUUUUUCAAUCCUAGUGAUCUUCCAGCCAAUUUAUUAGGCAUUCUUCAUUUGGAUACUCUCAGAAUUCCAUACAUUCGGCAUUAAUCACCUUGAUUUGAAUUGGUUUUAUUUGAUCACUAAAUUAUUUACUUUUCCUGGGAGGUUUUGGUUUAUGUCUCCUUCCUUAUGUUCUUUCAUUGAUUGAUUUAUUUACAGGUAGGGGUCUAGCCUAACCCCUAAUUAUCUUGGUGGAUUAUUAAAAAAAAUAUUUUUUCAUAAUAAAAUUAUUAUUAUUAUUAGGUAAUUUAUUUCUUCAUUAUAUCAAAGUUAUUUUUGACUUUAUCAAACAAAUAAGGUUUAAAAAAUAGUUAGGGUUUAUGAUUUAUAAAGACAUUUUAGUUUGAUUAAAUUCUUAUUUUUUCUUUAGGUAAUUUCUAAGAAUAUUAAAGGGGUGUGAACAACAGUAAUCAUGAUUAAAUUAGAUUAAAAAUUUUUCAAUGUAAAUACAUUUGGAAUUGAUUGGGUUAAUCCCAACAUUCGCUCACCCCUAAAAUGGCUUUAUAUAUAAUCAUUAUUAUGAAAAAUAUAAUGAUAGCUUCAACUCUUAACUGAACUUUUUGGUUGAGAGAGGCUUACAUCACUCAACAUGUAUUAAUAUUCAAUACUAGAAGAGAAGCUUUAUCUAGAUUGGUAUAUUUACCAAAUAAUACUACAAAAUAUAAAAGUUUUAAUGGCGUGUAUCAAACAGGGUGUACUUCCAUCACUAUCUUAAGAGUGGUGAUUUUUUAUCCCUUAUUGUAUUUCACAAACCCCCAUUUUUCAGUUAAUUGCAUUAAAAAUUUUAAACAAAUUUUUAUCUCUCAAUGUACCUUACCUAAUCUCUAUUUUACCCUUAUUUUAAAUUUUUUUUCAUACACCCAUCAUAUAAAAUUUAUAAAAUCAUUUCUUAUAAAAACAAAUCUCUCAUAAUCAUUGUAAUUUCUCAACUUUUUUUUAAAGAUUUUAUCCAUCACUUAAGAUUUGAUAGUUGCACCAAGAAUUGGAGUAAGAACUAUUAAGUUUUAUAUGAAUCUGUGAUAUUGUUUGGUUAACGAGAAAAUAAGAAGAAGAGAAAUCUUUUGAAAGCUAAAAAUUUUGUUCUAUUGAUCUUAAUGAAUCUGGAAAUUACAAGGCUUUUUAUAUGUGCUUGGAAAAGAUUCUACACACAUCACAUGCACACAUAGUUCACUGCUAAUAACCUCUAUAACAAAUUAUAACAAACUUUAGCUGACUCAGCUGCCAUGUCAGCAUACUCAUUAAUUAACUAAUUUUGUACUUAACACCCCCCUCAAGUUUAAGGUCUCGGAAGAACAUUAAGCUUGUUACGCAAAUAAGCAAACUGAUCAUAGGCUAAAGGCUAAGUAAGAAUAUCUGUUAUUUGAUCAAAGCUGGGAACAUGAUCAAUAGAAAGUUCAUGCUUGGCUAUAUGGUCUCGAACAAAAUGAAGAUCAAGUUCUAUAUGUUUGGUGCGUGAAUGGUACUUUGGAUUACUAGCUAAUGCUUCAGCACUCUUAUUGUCACAAUAUAGAACAUGAAGCUUGAGCAAGGAAACCUUGAGUUCUUUUCACAGAUAAGUGAUCCAAAGCAUCUCAGAAAUAGCAAGUGCAAGUGCCCUGUACUCAGACUCUACUGUUGAUCUAGAGACAAUAGGGUCCUUUUUUGAGGACUAUAAGACUAGAUUGUUGCCAAGAAAUACACAAUAACCACCAAUGGAUUUUCUAUCAUCAGGGUCUGAUCCCCAAUCAGCAUCAGAAUAAACAUUUAGAAUGAGAGAACCUAAAUUAAGAAAUUGAAGUCCAAAGUUUGCUAUGCUCUGUAGAUACCUCAGAACCCUCUUACAAGCUUGCCAAUGAAGGGCAGUAGGUGCAGCAAGAAAUUGGCUUAACUUGUUGACUGAAAAGGCAAUAUCAGGCCUUGUUAAAGUCACAUACUGAAGAGAGCCAAUAAUGCUUCUAUAGAGGGAAGGAUUCUCGAAUAGGACUCAAUUUUCUUUCUUUAACUUUUCAGUUGUACUCAUUGGGGUGUUAUAGCCCUUGUUGUCUAACAUGUAUGCCUUUUGAAGAAUAUCACCAAUAUAUUUAGUUUGAGAGAGAUGUAAACCAUCUAGGCUAGGAGUUACUUCUAUGCCAAGAAAAUAGUUGAAUUCUCCCAAGUCUUUGAGAUCAUAAGUAAAGCCAAGCUUACUGAUUACCCCAUCUACAUGCUGUAUAUUUAAUCCAGUGAUAAGUAUGUCAUCCACAUAAAUCAGAAUAACCAAAAUUUCAAAACCAGCAUGUUUAAUAAAGAGAGAAGCAUCAGACUUUGAAGUUUGAAAACCCCAUUGCAUUAAUGAACCUUUCAGCUGAUCAUACCAAGCCCUUGGAGCUUGUUUGAGACUAUAUAAAGCCUUGUUAACUUGCAAACAUGAGAAGGAAAUCUAGAAUCAAUGAAGCCCUCCAGUUGGUGCAUAUAUACAUCUUCAGUAAGUACUCUAUUCAAGAAGGCAUUGUUGAUGUCCAAUUGCCUGAUAGUCCAGUGUUGCACCACUGCUAAACUGAGAAUAAUCCUUACUGUACAAGGCUUUACAGCAGGGCUAAAAGUUUCAAAGAAAUCCACUCCAUGUGUCUAGUGAAAACCUUUAGCAACCAGGCAUGCCUUAUACUUAGAAAUGCUUCCAUCUAAGUUGUAUUUAAUUCUGAAAACCCAUUUGUUACCUACAAUAUUGGUGGCUGAAUAAGAAUGAACCAGAGUCCAUGUCUGUUUCUAUGCAAAGCAUAUAUCUCUUCUUUCAUAGCCAUAUACCACUUCUGACUAGAUAGGGCUGUUUUGACACUUGUUGGUUUUAUGUCCUGAGUUGCUGCUAGAUAUGUGUUGGGUUUGAAUAUUCCAGAUUUUGCUUUAGUAACCACAAGGUGUUUAGAUUUUGAAGGUAUAGAAGAGAUAUAUAAGGUAUUUGUUGGAGUUGGAGGAUGGCUUAAGGCUAGACUUGGCUCAGGGCAGCAACAUGGAGUUAAGUUUCACUUCUUGGUUCUAAAAUUGCUAUAGAUGGUGAAACUACAUUACUGUCAUCAAGAUGAGGAUUUGAGAGAGAAAAAUGAGUGAAAGACAGACUUGCAGGGGUGACACAUUUUAUUGGAAUAGAAGUAGAGUUGUGAACAGAAAACAACUCUGAAUAUGGAAAUUCAGACUCAUUUAACAUAACAUGUCUAGCAAUGUAAAUUCUACCUGAUUUGUCUAGACACUUAUAACCUUUAUGCAUAGGGUUGUAGCCAAUAAAGACACAUUUUUGUGUAUGAAAAUCUAACUUGUGUUGUUGUAAGGUCUUAACAGUGGAAAGCAUGAGCAGCCAAAGACUUUGAGAAACUAAUAAUCAGGUAAUUGAUUAUGCAGCUUUUUAUAAGGUGUUUUAUUGUUUAGGAUUGGUGUAUGUAUCUUAUUUAUCAAAUAAGAUGUUGUGUGAAAAGCUUCCCACCAAAAGGUAAGUGGUAGAUUUACUUCAGCAAGAAGGGUAAGAUCAGUUUCAAUAAUGUGUCUGUGUUUCCUUUCCACAACUCUAUUUUGAUGAUGUGUAUGGGGACAACUAAAUCUGAUAUGUAUCCCUUGUUGUUGAAGAAAGGAUCCAAAGGCUCUAAAUUCACUCUCCAUGUCUGAUUGUAUGGUUUUAAUGGAUAACGAGAAUUGUUUUUCAACAAGGAGUUUGUAAUGUUUAAAUGUGUCUAAUGCUUCUGAUUUUAAGGUGAGAGGAAAUAUCCAACAAUAUCUGGUAAAGUUAUCUACAAAGGAUAUGUAAUAUUUAUAUCCAUCUUUGGAUGGCAUUGAUGCUAGCCCCCAAAGAUCAGCAUGUAUCAAUUCAAGUGGUGCUCUGGUUUUUAUUUUGGUUACAGGAAAAUGAAACUGAUGUAGCUUCCCAUAUUGACAGGCAUCACAGAAACUAAGAGAAUGUGUAUUAACAACAUGUGAAGGUUGAGUCUUUAAAAUGAUUUGCAUAGCAUGUUUAUUAGGAUGACUAAGCCUAUUAUGUAACAAUUGCAUUGAGAUACAACCUGAAGUAUUGAUACUUGUAGGAGCAUUAUUGAAAGAAAUUGAAUCAACAGACACUGACUUGACAGACUUUGUAAUAGAGUUUACAAUUUUAUUUGAAACAACAUACAUCAUUGAACUUGGUUGAAAGACUUGUACUUCAGAAUUUGAGCGGAAAUCAUCUUGAAACAGUAAUUUGUAAAGGCCCCCUUUAGCAAUUCCCUAUGCUAGUAAUGUCCCCUUCACCUUGUCCUUUACAAAACAAAAAUAAGAGGAAAAUUCUAUUAUAACAUUGUUAUUAGAAAGGAGCUUGGACACACUGAUGAGAUUUUUUGUUAUAUGAGGAACACAUAGCAUGUCAGUAAGAUGCAAUAUAGCUCCAAGUGAUGAAUAAAAACAGGUAUAACCAAUAUGAGUAAUAGAGAGGCCUUUACCAUCACCAACCAGUAGCAUCUCAGAACUAGAAUAAUUUGUGAGAUGAUGAGUGGCUCCACUGUCUAAGUACCAGCCUUGAUCAGCAACUCCUUCUGAUGUCACCAUGUAUGCAGCUCUUGGACCUUGAUUUUGAGGUGGAAAGGAACCUUGAACUGGAGGAUUUGGCAUUAAGUUUCUAUUGAACCUAUCCCUGCACUCAAUAGCUGAAUGAUUUGGCUUGAAACAAAUCUGACAUAUAAUACCUCUACCACGUCCUCUUCCAGAACCAUUAAAACCAGCAACAAAACCAUUACCAUUAAAUCCACCAAAGCCAAAGCCAAAUCCAUUACCAUUAAAUCCAGCAAAGCCACCUCUGCCUUGAUUACCUCCCUGAUUUCCAUUCCAUUGUCCCCUUCCAGCAGCAUAUCCUACAUAAAAAAUAUGUGAUAUUACAGACACAUUAACACAUUAAUAUCACAAAAAAUCUGAUUCUCCAUUUUGAUUUACUGUCAUGCUAUGUGUUCCCCAUAUAACAAAAAAUCUCAUCAGUGUGUCCAAGCUCCUUUCUAAUAAUCAUGUUAUCCAUGCCAAGUCGGUCCUGAAUAACCUUAGUAUCGUGCUAAGUCUCUCAACCCAAAGUUGAGUGAAGCAAUACAAGAAUUUGGCCAAGGAGUUGGACGUGAUAAAGAUAGAGAUUUUUUAUUAUGAUAAUUGAUUUGGAACAAAAAAGGGGAUUCUUGAUUUCCUUUUGUAUGCAUCCGGAUCUUGUAUUGAAGUUUAUCUGUUCAUGGACCAGAAUGCAUUGCAUUUAGAAAGUGUUUGCAAUAGUACAGUGAUAUUACUUGGAUAGUAACUUGGCGUUGCAGUGCAUUUACAGAACGAAUGAAAAUUUGGAAUCGUGGUGGAAAAUGCUGUCAGAUAUCUAUCUGAGAAUGAAAGCACUCGCUGUCAGUCUCUAUGGGAUUGCAGUAUAAAAUUUUACGUUAUUCAAUUUUUUGAAUAGAAUGACUUAUUUUGAAUGGAAUGGACUAGUUUUAAAAAGUAAAAAAAAAAUAGAGUUUAAGAAAUCACAUUAGCUUAAUUAGUUAUUAAUAAAAAAUUUUAUAUGGGUGCACUUAAAAAUUAUAUAUUCUUUUAAAUAAUUUCACAUGAGGAUAAAAUAAGUAUUUAUAUAAAAAUUAUUAAUGGGGUUGGUAGAAUAUAAUAAGGGAUUUAAAUAUCACCACUCUACCCAUAGAGCAACCCAAAAACGAUCUCAUGGGCCGAAAAAGACCUGACCCAUUGAACGAGGACCCUUAAAAUUUGAACCUACCUUGACUCACACGAUAGGCUGAACAGGUCAGUAGCAUAUAUUUAAUAAUUAAUAUUAUGUUAUUAAUAUAACAAGUAAAUCUUGAUGCCAUCAACAUAAAACAUAAACAAAAAAAUAAAUUGAUAUUCAUGUGCAUGUUUAAUGCUUUAUUUAUAUAAGAUUAUAAUUCUCUUUUCAUCUGAGUUUUUAUUUGAGCAAAUACAUUUAUUAGUAGUUAACAUAUAGAAGCACAGUAGGUAUAUCUCGGCCGUGCGCACGUACAUGUCGAAAGAUAAUGAUAAAAAAGUUCCUUCAGAAUUCAUGGGCAUGCACGCACGCUACUUGUGGAACUCCAUAACCCAUAAAUUGAAAAAAAAGCAAUCAAAUCUGACGCCACUAAAUCCAGCUCCAGUAGCCAAGGUCAUGAAUUCAUGCUUUGUUCGCUCCUUUCCUCCCGGAUAUUGAGUCAUCACCAGCACAUCACCUAGGAAAUUUAUUUUUGAAUGAGUGCUAGUCUCGGGCAGUUCUGGAAGUACUGACUCCACAACAAUUACCUUUCCUCCUUCGGGGAUACUUUUGUGGCAGUUCUUCAAUAACUUCAAGCAAUGUUCAUCGCUCCAAUCGUGCAGUAUCCACUACAAAAUUUGAAAUAUUAUUAAAUUUGUUCAAGGAUCGAACACCUAAUACCUGCAAAUUAAAUUCAAAUGAAUCUUACCUUGAUCAAAAUGGCGUCACCAUUUGGAACACUUCGGAACAUGUCACCCCCUACAUGCUUAACACCUGUACUACGUACAAUUUAGUUUCCUGUGUUAGGAUCUGGCGGUAUGGUGGGCAGAGAAUUUAUAAGAGCACUGAUAUUCGGGACAAAAUUUUAGAUAAAAUUCUGACAAAAACAACAAUAUAUCAAACCUGAUUUUCUUAACUGAAUUGUAAAUCGAGGCUGUUUUAAUGUUUUUUGUCACUUUUUCUUUUUGCAACAUUUUAUCUUUUUACCAUUUUUUUCCCCAAAUGAUAAUGUGUAUUUCUUCAUAACAAUGACAUUCAAAGAAAAAGAAAAAAAGAGAUUGGAAUCAAUUUUCUAAUUAACUUUCUACCUUCUCCAGGAUUUAUAUUGGGAUGGUUAAUUAAAGAAAGCUACCUAAAAGCCACUUAACUACGUCCGUAACAUUAUUAUAAAUAUAAUUGAUAGUUCAUACCAGGAUACUCAGGGGCAUGCUGUAUAACAUGAGGCAAGUCGAAAUUGAUGCCCUUAAUGUGGGGAUACUUGGAAAUAAUUGCUUUAAGGGUAUUACCAAGGGAACCGCCAACAUCAACCAAUUGCUUUAUGUGCUCGAAACCCUUGUAAGCCUCAAGGAUUUUCUGAAUGACCAAAGUGGUAUGGUUGUACAUCGCUGUGCUGAAAACUUCAUUGAACCUGGGGUCCAAUCCGAGGUACUCGAAAGCGUGCGUUCCGUGGACUCUGUCAAAUGGAACUCCUCCUUCAAUAAUAGUUUCUUUCAGUUGGGACCUACACGACCAGUUAAUCAAUCAGUCCAGAAUUAGGUUUAGAUCCAGAUCUUUUACUCUUCUCAUCAUUUUGCGUUUGGCUUAACUUUCUUAGAUACACUGAUUAGUGGUUGAUAAAAAAAAGAAUAAAAGGAUAUAUCUAUAUUAUAUAUAUCACGAUGUAUACAUUUCAUAAAAUCCCUUAACAGAUAAGAUGAGUAGAGGAUUCAUUUCCAUAAAAAAAUUUAUUUUAUAUCUUAACUCAUAAUUGUCUCAUACAUCUUUAUGAAAACGAGCAAAAAAAUGGAAAUCAGGGUAAUAUUAUCAUACGGGUUGGUUACUAAAUUUUAGCAACGUCACAAUUAGGAGAUAUGUAGUUUGUAGUACCUUUACAUAUAGCUAGGCCCUGCUGUUUUUAUUUUGUUUUCCCUAAAAGAUUUUAUUUCUAAUUCUCUCCAGGCAUGUGAUCGUACCACCACAAGUGAAUCUUUUAAUUGAGCGAAAUUCUAUGGAUGAAGUUAAGAAAUUUUUGGUCUUCGAGGAUUUCUGUCAGAACUGAAGCAAUUACUCAAUUAAUGCAAACAACAUUACUCAAUUAAAGCUUUUAAUAGAACAAAAUACAUUGUCUUUUUUCAUAUUUGUUACACUCACGUCCUCUAUAAUUAAAAGACAACAAUACCCCCGAAAGAAGACAUUUUUCCUCAUAUCCUCUGUAACCGCAAGUAAUUAAAACAUCACCAACAAUAUUUUAUCCAUUCUUGAAUUGAUAUGACUAGAAGUAUAUUUAAUAAUGAUUAAUAAGCUUGAGAGUGUACAUUCUACAUUUAUCGCUCACAUAUAUGAACACAUUUUUUUUUUUCGAUGACCUGAAUUUAGAAAUAAGUUGAGUAUGAAGUCGAUUAUGAUUUAAUACUUGGGAGAAAUGCAUGAUUGGAUCUGAAGGCGUGGGAAGAGAAAUUGUAUUAUAAACCCAUGUAUUUUACCCUAACUUAAAAAAAGAAAAAUUCAGAGGAUUAAAAUGAUAGAGUGGACAAACCAGCUGUCGAGAAAGGCCUUGUCCUGAAUUAAGGCCAACACAGGGCCUAAUGAGACACCAUCUUGAUUAGACACAAAGUAUUUGCAGACAUCAUUCAAACCGUAUAGUCUGUGUGACCCAUAGACAUCAUCAAGUGCGCAUUGAACAAUACCAUAGCUAGCCAGAAGCCUGAGUAUCCGGUCCAGCAUCAUGGGUGCGUCUUUGUUCUUGGUGGCGGGCAACUGAGCGGCAAUCUCUGAAGCUGAGAGCUUUGCUCCAGGACCAGCUUUGGCUAUGAUCUCGAAAAGUCCCAGCUUAAUUACUGCUUUCAUGGUCAUGUGGAGCACUGAACCCGUCACCAGUUCGCAGGCAUAUGCAAAGUUUUCGUCUCUCUGUUCAUUAGCCAUAUUUUCUCGAAUUUCCUUAUCUGUGUUCCUCAAAAACAAUGCAUUUAUAGCAUAAGUGGCUCUUCCUUUAGGCAAUUCAGGCGGUUGUCUAGGGCCCCACUAUAAAUGAUGGCCCUUAAUUUUAUUCCUAACUUAUAGUUAUUAAUUAUUAAUUUAUGUUUGUUAUUAUUUUAUAAUUACAUUUUCCAUAAACAAACUAUUAAAUCCUUAUAAAGUCCCCUUUUAACAUUAUAAUUAACAAUUAUAAUCCCAUUUAUUUUCUCCAUAUAUUUCAUCUAAAACUCUAUAAAGGCCACAUAUUUUUUUAAAUUAUUAUCCAUUAAUAUCUUUUUCCUAUAAAAAAAAUGCACGAAACCUUCAUUACUUUGGUGAAAAUACUACUUUCUCUACCCUACUUUUCACUUAAGGAAAAAAAAAUCAAUUGUUUUACUAUUCAUUAAUCACUGCUACUCAAAGGCUCAAUACAUCAAAGUUGCUACUCAAAGGCUCAAUACAUCAAAGUUAAAGUUCUCAAAUUUCUAGGUUCUAUCUUUCCAUUCUCUUAUUAAUUAAUUAUGUUAUUUAGUUUUCUUGUAAUUAUCUAGUAAAAUUGUUUGCUUAAUUAUUCUUGUUUCACGAGAAAAAAAGAAAUGUCUACUAAAAAAAUAUGCAUUAGGAUACAAAAAACUUCAAAAACAAGAGAAGAAUAGAAAAGUUAGUUUAAUCUCAAAAAGGAGUUUUACUCAAUGAUUGGUCGUCCGUAUCUUUCUUUUUUGUCUCCCCAUGCUUUGAUUAGUCACUGGCGGUGGUAUUGCCGUUCUUGAAAACAUAUUCGAGUCAUUCUCCCAUGCUUCAUUCUAUGGCAUGUUUGGAAGGCUCGAAACACUCUCAGGUACAAUUCUGUUGCCUUUAAUGUGGAUACUGUUAUUUAUAGAGUGCUCCUGGAUAUUACGCUAGUCAGUGACAUGUUUGGUUUCAAGUCAUCUCAGUUGAGGGGUAUUUUUGAUACUCAGAUUGGGGAGGGAUUGCAGAUUAUCAUGCCUCCCUGUAGACCACCUCAAUUGGUUUCUUAGAUGAAACCGCGACUGGGGGUGGUGAAGUUGAGCAUGGAUGGUUGUUCUAGGGGAAACCUAGGUAUGGCUGCUACUGGUGGUGUUUUGCGAGAUCUUAAAGGCGUGGUAUUAGCUGCCUUUGGCUCCUUUCUGGGGCACUAGUCUAUUCUUUUUCUGAAUUGAUGGCUCUGUUAAAGGGUUUGGAUCUUGCUGCUUAGCUUGGUUUUUCUAAUCUUGAGGUGGUAUGUUAAAUUAUAUUUAAAUAAUAUUAACUAGCAUUUAAUUUGAUAUUUAAAUAUGAAUAUCAAUUAUUCAUGAAAUUUUAUAAUAAUAAGUAAACAAAUUUAAAAAGCCAUUAAUAAGAAAAUUAAGUAUACUAUAAAUUAGUUAUUAGGUAGUCAUAAUAUAAUAAACAAAUGAAAAAGAAAUAAAACAAUUUAAAUAUUUAAUUAAUUUUUAUCAAAUAUUUAAAAAAUUAUAGAAAAUCAAUUAAUUAUGGUAUUUUUAUUUUUCAUGAUUAUUUUUACCAUUUAUUAGUGAUUAUUAAAAUUUGUACAAUCAUAAUCCAAUAAGUUAUUAAAUGGUUAAUUUAUAAAUUAUUAAAUAUAUAAGCAAUGAAAAUUAAAUCUCAAGAGUUAUUAGAAGUAAAACUGCCAAUUUAAUUAGAUCAUAGUAAUAAAUAAAAAAUCUUAAGUAAAUCAUAGGUAAAAAUUAAUUAAUUAAUUAAUAUUAACAAAAAUAUUUUUUUAAUCUUAUCCCAACUCAAUCCAUGUGUGAAUUAAGAUUACUAAUCUGUGAUUUUAUAAUUAAAUUCAAAUUUAGUCUCCUUUAAUCCAAUUCAAGUAAUUUUAUCAAAUAUGAAAUAAAUAUUUAAUUUUAAAAUUAGUCCAAUUCGAGAUUUAAUUCUGACAUCCAAACAUAGCCUUAGUUGCCAUAAAGGCAACUUACAAAGAGUUGUAACCGAAAACAUUUAUAAAGCUUUUUUUUAAGAAUUGUUUUUUCAGGUUCAUAUAUAUAUACAUACAUAUAUAUAUAUAUAUAUAUAUAUAUAAUCUUUCCGCCAAUGAAGAGCCCGCCAAUCAGAGAAGUUAAUUUUUAAAUUUCUUUUUCGACGCCGGCACCAUCCCUGCAUCUUAUAGCUUUUUUUUUUUCUUUUGAAAGACUGAAUCUUAUAGCUUUGAUUCCAGAUGAAUGAGGCUUUUCAUUCAUGUUAUUCUUUGAACGAUUGUGAUUCCAGAGGCUGCUGAUAAGACAAAUUCAAAUUUACGUUUUUAAUAAUUAUUAUCUUUUCUAAGGAUUUAAAAAUUUAUAUGCGUAACGUACAGCUAAUGUAAUGUAAGUUUUACCUGAUGUAUGAGUUGAUGAACCAUCACGGUGAAAUCAAAAUAUAAAAAAAUAACAGAGGUCAAUAACCGCAACCAAAAGAAAAGAAAAAGUAAAACACAAAGAAAAUAAGGCCAUUGGAUUCGUUUUUUCAAAUUUUUUCCUGAAUAUUAAUACUUUAUAAUGAAGAACUUGUUAAUAUUUAUCAUAAAAAUAUUGUUGAUACAAUCCUACGUCAAUUUUGUUAUAUUAUAGUACAAUUCAAAAGUUUUAUUUUAUUUAAAAAUAUAUUUGUCCUACCAAAUUUAUAAAAGAUAUUGUAAAAUAAUUAAAUUAAUUAAGAUAAAAGCUGUCUCCAAUCAUAGUUGCUCAAGUUUCAAGUGUGCUCUACAUUCACUAAAUUUUAUAAAAGCAUCUUCCCGCUUUUUCCACUUUAUAGCUUCUCUCUUUUUAUGAAAAAUAAAUCCUUAGCAAGUAUAGAUUUGGUUAGGGUAGAACCUUUUUUGUAAUAGUAUUUGAUAACUUAGAAGACUGCACUUCUUCCAUCAAAGAAGUGAAAUUAAUAGCUUUUAUCACUUCCAUUAUAAAAAUGAUCAGUAAACUAUGACGCUAUCACUCGAAAUAAAUAAGUAGGUUAUUAAUACGAGUUUAUCUAGUUAUUUAUUUUUUAAAAAUCACUUAUCAUGUGGACUAUAUAAUGAAAAUUCAUGGAAAUAUAUGUACCCACAUUUAACUAUAUAAUUGAGAUAAGAAAUUAGAGGUCCAAGGAGUAGUAUUCAAAUCUGCAACGUCAAAGUCGAGGUUGUGACAGGCAAAAGAAAAAGAAUAAGCAUGUGUUUUUGGGAAAAGAACCCAUACAAACAAUUGCAAAUUAAGCAAAAAAUAACUUUUUUUCCUCUUUGUAUGAUAUAAUUGGAAUGUGUACAACAAACAAACAAGCCGAAAAUAAACCAAUACAAUCUAAAAUAAUAAAUCAACCAUAAGAGAUAUAGAUUUUUUAGAUGGAAAACCUAAAUUGAGCAAAAAACCAUAGAACUGUAGUCCAAUAUAACCUUUCGUUAUAUUAAUAAUGGGAUUACAACACAAAUUCUUCUUCAGAUAGCAUUAGAGGCUAACAACAUCAAGAAUCUCAACAAUCUUGGCUUAUAGUAAUAAUCUAAUAUUUUUCUCUCUAACAAAUGGGUAAUCUCAAAUAAUAGCCAAUGAGAGAUAAAAUAAAAAUCAAGACUAGUAAGAUUAUAGAGGAUGAUAACAGAAACUUACCUCCAAAUUUGGAAGAAAAUGAAUUUAAAUUUACCUUACGAUCGUCCAAUCAAAGAUUAAAACCCUUACCUCCAAAUUGGAAUAAUCGGGCAUUGUAUUAUUUUUGAUUAAAACCCUUACCUCCAAAUUGGAAAAAUCGGGCAUUGUAUUAUUUUUCUCUCUCAUGUUUAUACAUUUUUAAGUCUAUCGCUUCACUUAUUUACUUUUUCUUUUAUAUCCAAGUGAUUUUGAAAGCCAAAUUUAAUGGUAAUUUUCAAUUAGUCAUAACCUGUUUCCUUUAACUAUUUAAACACCCAAACUAAUGGAAACUUUGAGUUGGGCCAAAAAAUGAAAUGUAUGUAACAAAUCUUCUCCACCAGAUUAUGUUGGGGACACCACCAAGCCCAUUCUCUACUUAUAUUCUUUCAACUUCUCCUUGGGCAAUGACUUUGUCAUGAUAUCCGACUUAUUCUUCAUGAAUCUUCUCAGACUGCAACUUUUUCUUUUCAGGCACGUCUGUACCCAAAGAUAUCUCACAUUCAUAUGUUUGGAUUUCGAAUGGUAUGCUGAAUUCAUUACCAAGUGAAAGAACUUCUAGAUUAAAUUGGAUUAAGAUGGAUUGCUAUAAAUUGAAAAGUCUAAUUUUAAUCUAAAAUUAAUAUUAACCUUAACCUAGUUGAGCAAAUGGACUUUUAAGAGAAAUUAAUCUAAUUAAACUAAGAAAGAAAUUAAAACAAUGGAGAAUUCAAUAAGACAAAAAAUUAUUAAGGUUUCAGAAUCCACCACUAUUUAAUUAGUAAAAUUAUCUAAUUGUUAAUUAAUCCUCAAUUUUAGAGUGAUAACUCAAAAUUUUAUAAUAAUAAGUAAACAAAUUUAAAAAGUAAAUAAUAAGAAAAUUAAGUAUAUUGUAAAUAAUUUAUUAGGUAGUCAUAAUAUAAUAAACAAACAGAAAAUAAAUAAAAUUUUAAAUAUUUAAUUAAUUUUUGUCAAAUAUUAAAAAAAUUAUAUAAAAUCAAUUAAUUAAGGAAUUUUUAUUUUCAUGAUUAUUUUUAAUAUUAUAUUAGUAAUUAUUAAAUUUUAAUCAAUCAAUAAUGCAAUAAGUUAUUAAAUGGUUAAUUUAUAAAUUACUAAAUACACAAGUACUAAAAAUUUAUUCUCAAGAGUUAUUAGAAGUAAAACUACCAAUUUAAUUUGAUCGUAGACAAUAAAUAAAAAAUCUUAACUAAAUCACAAAUAAAAAUUAAUUAAUUAAUAAAUAUUAUUAAUUUUUUUCUUUAAUUUUAUACCAACUAAACCUAUGUGUAAAUUAGAAUUACUAAUCCGAUGAUUUUAAUAUUAAAUUCAAAUUUAGUCUCCUUUAAUCCAAUUCAAGUAAAUUUAUCAAAUAUGAAAUAACUAUUUAAUCUUAAAAUUGACCCAAUUCCAUACUUAGUCCUGUCAUCCAAAUAUAGCAUUCGUUUCCUUAAAGGCAACUUACAAAGAGUUGUAACCGAAAACAUUUAUAAAGCCAUUUUUUUUUCGGGUUCAUAUAUAUGUAUAUAUAUAAUCUUUCUGCCAAUGAAGCGCCUGCCAAUCAGAGAAGUUAAUUAUUUUUUUAAUUUCUUUUUCGAUUAUGAUUCCGGAGGCUGCUGUCAAGACAAGACUCCAGAGGCUGCUGAUAAGAAAAAUUCAAAUUUACCUUUUUAAUAAUUAUUAUAUUUUCUAAGGUUCAAAAUUUUAUAUGGGUAACGUACAGCUAACGUAAUGUAAGUUUUACCUAAUGUAUGAGUUGAUGAACCAUCACGGUGAAAUCAAAAUAUAAAAAAAUAACAGAGGUCAAUAACCGCAACCAAAAGAAAAGAAAAAGUAAAACACAAAGAAAAUAAGGCCAUUGGAUUCGUUUUUUCAAAUUUUUUCCUGAAUAUUAAUACUUUAUAAUGAAGAACUUGUUAAUAUUUAUCAUAAAAAUAUUGUUGAUACAAUCCUACGUCAAUUUUGUUUUAUUAAUACAAUCCUACGUUAUUUUAUUUAAAAAUAUAUUUAUCCAACCAUAUUUAUAAAAGAUAUUGUAAAAUAAUUAAAUUAAUUAAGAUAAAAGCUUUCUCCAAUCAUAGUUGCUCAAGUUUCAAGUGUGCUCUACAUUCAUUAAAUUUUAUAAAAGCAUCUUCCCGAUUUUUCUACUUUAUAGCUUCUCUCUUUUUAUGAAAAAUAAAUCCUUAGUAAGUAUAGAUUUGGUUAGGGUAGAAACCAUUUUGGUAAUAGUAUUUGAUGACUUAGAAGACUGCACUUCUUCCAUCAAAGAAGUGAAAUUAAUACCUUUUAUCACUUCCAUUAUGAAAAUGAUCAGUAAACUAUGACGCUAUCACUCGAAAUAAAUAAGUAGGUUAUUAAUACGAGUUUAUCUAGUUAUUUAUUUUUAAAAAAUCACUUAUCAUGUGGACUAUAUAAUGAAAAUUUAUGGAGAUAUAUGUACCCACAUUUAAUUAUAUGAUUGAGAUAAGAAAUUAGAGGUCCAAGGAGUAGUAUUCAAAUUUGCAACCUCAAAGUUGAGGUUGUGGCAGGCAAAAGAAAAUGGAGAAGCAUGUGUUUUUGGGAAAAGAACCUGUACAAACAAUUGAAAAAAAAUCAUGAACCGUAGUCCAAUAUAACCUUCCGUUAUAUUAAUAAUGAGAUUACAACACAAAUUCUUCUUUAGAUAGUAUUAAAGGCAAUGGCGAAGCUAAGGGUUGGCUAACCCGGGCUGCAACCCGGGUUAGCUUUUUGAAAAAAAUAAUAAUUAUAAUUUAUGAAUUUGUCUUUAUUAAUACUUAUAAAAAAUUAAAAAUAAAUUUAAUAGCCCACCCCAAAAUACGGUGCUAGCUUCCCCACUAAUUAGAGGCUAACAACAUUAAAAAUCUCAACAAUCUUGGCUUAUAGUAAUAAUCUAAUAUUUUUAUCUCUAACAAAUGGGUAAUCUCAGAUAAUAGCCAAUGAGAGAUAAAAUAAAAAUCGAGACUAGUAAGAAUGUAGAGGGCGAUACCAGAAACUUACUCUCCAGAUUUGGGAGUAAACGGAGUUAAGUUUACCUUCCGAUCGUCCAAUCAAAGAUCAAAACCCUUACCUCCAAAUUCGAGUAAUCGGCCACUGUAUUCUUUUUCUCUCACAUCUUUUGUACAUUUUUAAGGCUGCCACUUCACUUAUUUACUUUUUCUUUUAUUGCCACGUGAUUUUGAAAGCCAAAUUUAAUGGUAAUUUUCAAUUAGUCAUAACAUAUUUCCUUUAAUUAUUUAAACAUCCAAACUAAUGGAAACCUUGAGUUGGGCCACCCAAAUGAAAUUGAUCUAACAAAUCUUCCCCACCAGAUUAUGUGAGGGACACCGCCAAGCCCGUUCUCUGCUUACAUUCUUUCAAGUUUCAACUUUUCCUUGGGCAAUGACUUUGUCAUCAUAUCCGACCUAUUCUUCAUGAAUCUUCUCAGGUUGUAAUUAUUUCUUUUAAUGCACAUCUUGUUCCCAAUGAUAUCUUACAUCAAUAUACUAGGAUUUCGAAUGGUAUGUUGAAUUCAUUGCCAAGUGAAAGCACUUUGACUAUUACAGUACACAACAUAAUUGUCUUUUUUCACAUCUAGCUUUUGUAAGAAAUUCUUCACCACAAGAUUUCAAAGAAACCUUCAGUAAUUGCAUUAAAUAAAUAAAGGAAAGCAAACAAAUACUUCACUUUUGAUGAAACUUUCAAAUAUCAUUCUUUAUGACUUUAAGCUACAUUUACCAUGCAAAAUUGGACUGGACUUAUUAUUAUAAUAAGACUGGAUUAGAUUAAAUUGGAUUAAGCUAGUUUGUAAUAUAUUGUCUUAUAUUUGGUGUAGUACCAGAUUGUACUAUGUUAAAUUAUAUUUAAAUAAUAUUAAAUAGCAUUUAAGUUGAUAUUUGAAUAUGAAUAUCAAUUAUUCAUGAAAUUUUAUAAUAAUAAGUAAAUAAAUUUAAAGAGCAAUUAAUAAGAAAAUUAAGCAUAUUGUAAAUAAGUUAUUAGGUAGUCAUAAUAUAAUAAACAAAUAAAAAAGAAAUAAAAAUUUAAAUAUUUAAUUAAUUAUUAUCAAAUAUUUAAAAAUUUUAUAGAAAAUCAAUUAAUUAUGGUAUUUAAUUACAUUUUAUACAAUCAAUAAUGCAAUAAGUUAUUAAAUGGUGAAUUUAUAAAUUAUUAAAUACACCGGUAAUGAAAAUUUAUUCUCAAGAGUUUUUGGAAGUAAAACUUACCAAUUUAAUUAGAUCAUAGGUAGUAAAUAAAAAAAUCUUAAGUAAAUCAUAAAUAAAAAUUAAUUAAUUAUAUAAUAUUUAUAAAUAUUUUUUUCUUUAAUUUUAUACCAACUAAACACAUGUGUAAAUUAGGAUUACUAAUAUGAUGAUUUUAAAAUUAAAUUUAAAUUUAGUCUCCUUUAAUCAAAUUCAAGUAAAUUUAUCAAAUAUGAAAUAAAUAUUCAAUCUUAAAAUUGAUCCAAUUCGAUACUUAAUCCUAACAUCCAAAUAUAGCCUUGGUUCCCUUUAAGGCAACUUACAAAGAGCUGUAACCGAAAAAUUUAUAAAGCCAUUUUUUUUUUGGGGUUCAUAUAUAUGUAUAUAUAUAAUCUUCCCGCCAAUCAGUGGUGUUAAUUUUUUUUUAAAAAAAGCUUCCUCCAAUCAUAGUUGUUCAAGCUUCAAGUGUUCUCUACAUUCACUAAACUUUAUAAAAUUAUUUUCCUGCUUUUUCUACUUUACAGCUUUUCUCUUUUGAUACAAAAUAAAUCCUUAGCAAGCGUAGAUUUGGUUAGGCUAGAAACCUUUGUUAUAAUAGUUUUUUUAUAACCUAGAAGACUAUACUUCUUCCAUCAAAGAGUGAAAUUAAUAAACUUUAUCAUUUUCAUUAUGAAAAUGAUCAGUAAACUAUAACGCUAUCACUCGAAAGAAAUAAGUAGAUCAUUAAUAUGAGUUUAUCUAGUUAUUUUGUUUUUAAAAUCACUUAUCAUGUGGACUAUAUAAUCAAAAUUUGGGGAGAUAUGUCUACCCACAUUUAACUAUAUAAUUGAGAUAAGAAAUUAGAGGUCCAAGGAGCAGUAUUCAAAUCUGCAACCUCAAAGUUGAGGUUGUGGCAAGCAAAAGAAAAAGGAGAAGCAUGUGUUUUUGGGAAAAGAACCUGUACAAACAAUUGCAAAUUUAACAAAAACUAACUUUUUCCUUUUUUGUGUGAUAAAAUCGGAAUGUGUACCACAAAUAAAUAGACAGAAAAUAAACCAAUACAAUCUAAAAUAAUAAAUCAACCAUAAGAGACAUAGAUUUUUUAGGUGAAAAACCUAAAUCAAGAAAAAAAACCACAGAAACUUAGUCCAAUAUAACCUUCCGUUAUAUUAAUAAUGGGAUUACAAGACAAAUUCUUCUCCAGAUAGCAGUAGAGGUUAACAAUAUCAAGAAUCUCAAUAAUAUUGGCUUAUGGUAAUAAUCUAAUAUUUUUCUCUCUAACAAGGGUAAUCUCAGGUAAUAGCCAAUGAGAGAUAAAAUAAAAAUCAAGACUAGUACGAAUGUAGAGGACGAUACUAUAAACUUAUCCUCUAGAUUUAGGAGAAAACAGAGUUAAGUUUACCUUCCGAUCAUCCAAUCAAAAAUUGAAACCCUUACCUCCAAAUUGGAUUAAUCGGCCACUAUAUUCUUUUUCUCUCUCAUCUUUUCUACAUUUUUAAGGCUGCCGCUUCACUUAUUUACUUUUUCUUUUAUAUCCACGUGAUUUUGAAAGCCAAAUUUAAUAGUAAUUUUCAAUUAGUCAUAACCUUUUUUCUUCAAUUAUUUAAACAUCCAGACUAAUGGGAACUUUGAGUUGGGCCACCCUAAUGAAAUGGAUCUAACAAAUCUUCCCCACCAAAUUAUGUGGGGGACACAACCAAGCUUGUUCUCUCCUUACAUUCUUUCAACUUCUCCUUGGACAACGACUUUAUCAUCAUAUACGACCUAUUCUUCAUGAAUCUUCUCAGGCUACAACUAUUUCUUUUCAAGCACGUCUUGUAUCCAAUAAUACUCACAUCAAUAUGCUUGGAUUUCGAAUGGUAUGUUAAAUUCAUUUCCAAGUGAAAGCACUGUGAUUAUCACAAUACAUGCCAUAGCUAUCUUAUUUAACAUCUUGCUCUUGUAAGAAAUUCUUCACCAAGGUUUUAAAGAAACCUUCAGUGAUUGCAAUAUAUAUAUAUAUUUUUGGUGGAGAAACACUACUAGAAAAAUGGUCUUUAUUGAUACUUGUGUUCUGACACUUUAUUUAAAAGUAUCAGUAUAUACAUAUAUUUGGAUCAUUUUCCGCGUUUAACAGAUAUGUAUCACUAAUUACUAAUACUGAAGUAUCAAUAGCUUUAGUAAUAGCAAUCAAUGACGCUUAGGUAUCAGCAAUUAAAAAUUAUCAUUUUAAUUUUGUUUUAGUGUGAAUUCGAACCCAAUACCUCUUAAACCUAGAGCUUCUACAUUGAAUCAAAAGACCACUAGGCUACGAAUUAUUUUUAUUUGUUUUUUAGAAUUGUGCUUUUUGAGUGGAUAAAAACAAAACAAAUGGACAAGUCUUAUCUUAUCCAAAAUACAACUUUUCAACUCCCUCUACCAAAGUAUUCGUUCCCUCCUAAGCUCCCCAGAUCUGAAAAAUCCCUAACAUCCAAAUUGUCAAAAAGUGCUCAGGUCUUAUCUUUUUGUUUGGCCGGCAUGGUGCUGCAAAAUCAAAGGUCAGUAAGCACUAAUGGAAGAUAACGAGUGCAGAGAUGGCGGGAAGAAGGUAAGACUAGCCAUAAUGGAGCUGGCCAACAUGAUAAGUGUUCCCAUGUCUCUAACCGCUGCCAUCCGUCUCCACGUACCGGAUGCCAUCCGGCAAGGUGGAGCCAACACCCCUCUCUCCGCCUCCCAGAUCUUGACAUGUAUCCUCCCAUCCGGCGGUGGGGAUGCCGAGAACUUGCAACGUAUCCUCUGCUUGCUCACCAGCUACAGCGUGUUCUCGGAGCAUCGCGAAUUUGGAGGCGAAAGGAGAAUGAAUGUGAUGAGGAUGAUGAUUGGGAAUAUGUUGAAGAAGGGCCUAUAGAAAUUAUAUGGCAAGGAAAUGAGAUUAUUAUCAGGAAGAAAAAGGUCAGAGUUCCGAAGAAGGAUGCGAACCCACUAAGUAAAAAAGAGGUAAUUUUGACUCUAUUGACAGCUAUGUUAGGCUUGUUUCUACUUUACUUCAGGAUGCCCAUUCUCUUGGUUAUGGCAAAAAUUAAACUUUCUAUGUUAUUACUUCCUUUACAGGAUGUUGAUAGGCCUACAUCAAAUCCUCUGCCCCCACAAUCAGAGGCCUUUGCUGAUCACCAGAAUGCACAACAGGCGUUGGAGACUAUUGCUCAAUAAGUGCCCAAUUUUGGAACUGAACAGACAUGCCUUUUCUUUCAAUUUGUCUAUCUGAAAUUUUCAAUUUGCAAUUACUGUAUUAUAUUUCAUUUCUAUUAUAUUUGCCUGUUUAUCAUGGUAAAUCAUGUUUUUAUUAUAUAUGGCAAGAUAAAGCUCAUUGUCCUUUCCAUUUGAAGACUGGAGCUUGUGGGUUUGGUCAGAGAUGCAGCAGAGUUCAUUUUUACCCUGAUAAAUCGUGCACUCUGCUUAUCAAGAAUAUGUAUAAAGGUCAUGGCCUUGCUUGGGAGCAAGAUGAGGGGCUCGAGGUAUGUAAUUACUGAUUCUUGUAUCCUGAUAAGGACUCUUCCAAACUUCUAUACUUUUGUGCAAUUUGUUGGAUCAUUUUAUGUACUCAUUGUCCUUGCUAUAUAGAAGAUGCUUUUUAUACAGAAAAAUAUUUUUCCAGUUGAUAUACUAUAAUGUGUUUAUAACUAUUCUAGAUAGUAUCACUGGUGAGUUCUUUUGAGUUCACGUUUUAUUUCUUUUCUUUGACUAUGUGAAAUCAGAGAUUUAUGUUUUCAUAACGAUGGAGAUUCAUGGUGUUGGCCUUGAUUGGGUAAGAGUGAAGGCUAUGAGCUAUUCUGUAUCCUACAUGCUGCAAAUGAUUUUAGCUAUUAUGAAAUUUUGAUUUUCCUGAGGUUGUUGCCGAAGGUCCAAGUAUCCCUAGAGUGACCCAUAUUGGUGGGGGCAUGUUUAAGUCCAUUCAUGCCGUUGAUGCUAUCUUUAUGAAGUGGGUUUUAACUACAUGGACUGAUGAUGAAUGCAAGUUGAUAAUGGAGAACUGUUACAAGGCUCUUCCGGCAGGAGGAGAACUGAUUGCUUGCGAGCCUGUGCUGCCUGAUGAUUCAAACGAAAGUCAGAGAACUCGUGCUCUCUUAGAAGGGGACAUUUUUGUUAUGACCAUCUACAGGGCCAAAGGUAAACACAGGAUUGAACAAGAGUUUAAGCAACUUGGUUUCUCUGCUAGUUUUCCACACUUGAGAGCAUUUUAUUUCGAUUAUUUUCACACUCUUCUUGAGUUCCAAAAGUAAUUUUAGUUUCUGGAUCCUUGAAAGACUUGGGGAAUAUUUGUGAUGGAGCUUCUGUGGUUGCCUAGGAUGGAAUAACUUGCUCUGAAUUAUAAAUGUUGAGUAGGCGGUUAGCACUAGCUGCCUACCAAAAAUAUAUAUAUAUAUUGUCAAAAAGUGCUCAGCCAUGAUCCUGUCAAACCAGUGGCACAGGUUCACCAUUUGCCUUCAAAAUCCUAACUUCUUGUUUCUUUUCUUAUUUUAUGAUUUCGGGUCUCUCUUAUUGUCAUUAGAUCUUGAUUUUUUUUUGUUUUAAUUGUUCUUUUAGGUUUAAAUAAGUGACUUAGAGAAGAGCUUCUAUGUUUCUUUGGCUACUUGGAAGAAACAAGAAGGUAAAGAUUUAGCUUUUCUUGUGUUUUUUUCUCUACUACGAUCAAGUAGAUGGUUAAUUUAUAAAAGAAAUGCUAUGUGUGAUUAUUUGAAAAUUGCAUAAACGCUAUCAGUUUGUCAUUUCUAUUAACUUUCUUUCUCUGCAGCAAAAUAAUUAAACAUUGGAAGUAUGCAUAUAAAUAAGGAGGUAGCAAGGUUAUUGGAUUUCUUUAAGGGAAUGAAUGAAGUCAGUCCCUACACUAACUACUUGGUCGAUGCCUUAGUAAUUAAUUGCUCAACAUUAUGAUGUAGUUACUGGGAAUCUAGUGACUAAUUUUCAACAAGUAAUUGUAUUUUUACCUAGUUAUCGUUCUUACUCUAUUUAGAGUCAUUAACUUAUUAUAGAUAACCUUACCAAAAGAGAAUAAUCAUUGACUCCCUUUUUUCUUAUUUAUAUAUGUAGUUGAAUAAACUGUAUUUCUUUGGUAUUUUUAAGGAAAUAAGCUACAACUUCCUUGUUCACUAAUUUUUCUUUGAAAUAAUUGAGUUUACUUAUAAAUAGUGUAUGGAUAUUUUUUCUUUAGAACAAAAUAGAUUUAUUUAUAUUAACCAUUGUUUCUCUAAUGGUUGGGAAUUGGCAGCUAAUUUUUUCUCCCUUUUCGAUGUAUGCAGAUUUGCUCAAUGUGUUUGAAGUGUUUAUUCCUCAACUUCACUUGUAUCAUAAGCCAUUCAACCUAUUGAAUGGAGAAGCUGCUGGUGUGAUAACGCAAUUAUACUACUCAUAUUCAAAGAGUGAAAGAUAGUCAUCAUUCUCAAUUUAAAUUCUAGAUUUAUUAAAUUUAGCCACAAGUAGUAGGCAUUUGAUUGGAUGGUAGAAAUUUUAAUGUAUUGAAUUUGGAUUAUUUAGUUAGGAGAGUAGGAUAUCUCAUAUUUUGGCUAUUGAAGUUCAAUUUGUAAUAUAUACUAAUAAUAUUUAAAUGUGAAAUGAAAGAUUUUGUGAUAUAAAUCAAUUUCUUUUUGUUAUUUUGUGGUGCUUUUAAUUUUACAAAUAAAUCAAUAGGCAAUGAUCCAAUUUAAUUUUUUAUUUUUUAAAAAUAAAUUAACUAGUGAUACCAUGGUAACAGUAAUCAUAGACACUAAUAAAAUAUCAAUAACUACUAACACUAUAGUGUCAUAAUAUUGGUGAUACUGUAGUAAUAGUAAUCACUGACACCAGUUACAAGUGUCACUAUUUUUCUGACUCCCAGAUUACUGACACAAUUAACAAGUGUCAGUGAAAGUAAUUUCUGACAUUAUUCUAAAGUCAGUAAAGACUAUUUUUCUAGUAGUGAAAACAAUACGAAAUUUGAAAUCCUCUGAGUAUACUCCCCUGUAAAGGUAAGCAAAUGUCUUGAUGAGAAUUUUCUAGAAUUAACAUCUCUUGCCCUAUCUGCAAUACACUUGUAGCACAAGUUGACACCAUUAAAAUCUAAACAUGCCUUGGAAAUGACUUUGAGGUAUAUGGGGAUCCACUUUAUUACUAUCUAGUGUCUUUGCCCAACUUAUAGAGAGACUAGCUGAGUACACCCAUUGCAUGAGCAAUAUUUGGUACAAGCCAUAGCGUACAUUAGCCUGCCAAGUGCUGAAGCAUAAAAAACUCCUUUCAUCUCUUACCUCUCUUUCUCACUUGUAGGACAAUGCUCGGAACUAAGCUUAAAAUGACCCGUAAGUUGAGAACAAAUAUAUUUUUCCUUGUUUAUUUUAAAUUUUUCAAGAACACUUUCAAUAUAUGCUUCUUGAGAUAACCAUAACUUGCUAAUUUUUAUGUCGUGGGAAAUCAUCAUGCCAAGAAUUUAUUUGCCGGUCCUUGGUAUUUUAUUGUAAAUAACUUGUUAAAUUUUUUCUUUAGAUUAUCAAUCUUACUAGCAUUGUGGUCAACAAUCAACAUAUCAUCUAUAUAAAGCAAAAAAAUGAUAAAAUUAUUAUCACCAAUCUUCUUUACAAAAAGACAAUAGUCAGACAUAAUCUUGCUAAAACUGUGAUUCUUUAUAAAAGAAUCAAACAUUUUGUACCAUAGUCUUGGUGCUAUUUCAAUCCAUACAAACUUUUCUUCAACUUGUGUACAAUUUCUUUGUUGCCUUUGACAUUGAAUCCUUCAGGUUGCUCCAUUUAUAUUUCCUCCUUUAAGUCGCGAAGAAAGAAACUCGAUUACCUCAUUCUCAUAUCCUAGAGACUUUCUAUCCAUCAACAUCCAAGCUUUAUCCAUAUUUAGACUAUUAAAUUUCCUGCAAAUGCAUCACAUUUCAUUCAUUCAUUUUAUUAAUAUUGGAGUUUGAUAUUGUUUCCAACCAUAAGAACAAUAUUAAAAUUACAAAAUCAACAAAAAAACAGUUAAAAUAUAAUAAAAAAAUAACACUUAACAGCAAGAGAAAACCUAUAUCUUCAUCAUGACUAAUUAUAGUAGUAAUAUUACAAGCCAUAUACCAUAAAUCAUGAAAAGAGCAAAUAAUAUAAUUUUCAAAAAAUAGAGAAAUAGAAAAAAACAAAAAACAAAAGUACCUUUUGUUAUUGCUUCAAGAUCACGAACUAGUAACAACUUAGAGACUAAGUCGCGACUNNNNNNNNNNNNNNNNNNNNNNNNNNNNNNNNNNNNNNNNNNNNNNNNNNNNNNNNNNNNNNNNNNNNNNNNNNNNNNNNNNNNNNNNNNNNNNNNNNNNGACAAUAAACUAGCUAGCUAUUGUAAUGAUUUAAACAAUCCAUAAAUAAAGUAUUAAAUUAAUAUGCAAAUGUCACAUGUAGUAAAACAACAUAUACAGUAUUAUGAAAUUUCAACAGCGAAAUUAGGUGUUGAAACCGUUAAAUAAAAUCCUUUUUCCAUUAGAGAUCUAAAUUUAGCUUACUUUAGUCAAACUCAGUCACUCUGUAGAGUGACUGUUGGACAUAAUUUAUAUACAUAUUGUACCAUUAAUUAUAUAAUUACUAGUUUUUUUAUUUUUAAUUAAUUAAAUUAUUUUGUUGAAUAAGAAAUUAAUUGAAGAUUAAGGAUAAAAAGUGCAUGUGAAAGUUCAAAUUGUGAAGGAAUAAAAAUUAAAUUGAAAGACAAAAAUGCAGCCAAGAAUUAACGGAAGUCAAGAAGACCAAAAUUGGAAUUCAAUCUCUUCAAAUAAUGAACGGUGGGCAUGCAGUUGGAAAGCAAAGAUUUGGCAAUUUGGAAUGCAUGUGCAGGGUAUUAAAAAAAAGAAAUUAUUAAUUGGCCUUUUGCUUUUAAGUUAAACGUGUGGCUAACUUUCAAACCUUAAUAAGGAAACAAUUUAAAAAGGGUUUGGUGAGCGGGCUUUGUUAAGUCGGUGGGUGGCUAAGCAUUAUAAAAAGCCGAAUUUGGCUUUUGAAAGAGCAGCCACCAGAGGAGAAGCCGCAAGAAAGAGAGAAGAAAAAGAGCAGCAGCAGAUCAAAUUUCCCAUCGCUGGUUUUAUUUUAUUCGUUACUCCCAAUUCAAGUAUGUCUAACUAAUUUUUUUAUACUGAGAUUAAGGAUGAAGCCCUAUUCAAUGAAAUAAUUAUCUUUUAAUCAAUUUCCUAUAUAUGUUCUUUGAUGAUUAUAGUUUUUGUUUCACAUGAUUAGUUGAAUGUUAUUAAAUUCUUUUCACUAAUUCUGUCAUGCGUUAUUGAUUGUUAAGAUUAAUAUUUGACUAAAUCUAUUAUUAGAUCUAUGAAGUCUAUACAUUAUCAUCUUUGAUUUAGUGUCUUUCGUUAAAUUAUUUACAUAGAGUGCUUAGGAAACUUUGACUAUUUUUUAUUCAAUAUGUUUACAUAGGAUGCUUAGAUAUCAUACUAUUAAGUAGAAAAAGAACCUACAUUAGAUUUAAUUACUUUGGCUUAAUUGUUAUAUCUAUGAGAUGACAUAGAUUGAUUUUGAGUUGUCACUCUAAAAUUGGGGAUUAAUUAAUAAUUAGAUAAUUACUAGUUGAAUAGUGAUGGAUUCUGAAACCUUGAUAAUUUUUGUCUUAUUGAAUUCUCAUUUACUUUAAUUGUUUUCUAAGUUUAAUUAGUUUUAUUUUUCUUAAAAACUCAAUUUGCUCAACUAGGUUAGAAUUAAUAUUAAUUUUAGAUUUAAAUUAGACUUUUCAAUUUAUAACAAUCCCUGUGGGUUCGACCUCGUUACCACUAUUCAAUUUUUAGAUUCGUGUGCUUGCGAGUAUAUUACAAUUUUUCACAACAUGUUUUUGGCACUGUUGCCGGGGAUUGUGCCAGAAAGUCAGUUUAAUCUAGGUUGAUUUGACUCUUCCACUAGUUAUAAUUUAGGUUGUCUUUUAUUUUUUUAUAAAAAAAACACAAUUUUUUUUAUUAUUUGUCUUUAAAUUCAUUGUUUGGUUGUUUUAUUUCUUUUAUUUUAAAUUUCGUUUAUUUUUAUUAUUGUUGUUUUAUUUUUCUUUGUCUAGUUAGUUUAUGAGUGUUUGGGAACGCGAUUCAAUAAAUCGUUUGGUCAAAAAAGAGUCUAAGGUUGAGAGUAAUCAAGCUAGUUCUUCUCAAGUGAUAGAUAACCUAAAUAGAAUAUUGCCAAUACUACCACCAGUGUAAGCAGAGAAAACCCUUAGAGAAUAUUUUUCGCAACUUGCAGCCAACCAACCAUCUUGUAUUGUGUCGCCACAAACUACAACAACACACUUUGAUUUUAAGCCCUCUGUCAUUCAACUUUUACCAUCUUUCUAUGGGUUAGAGAGAGAAGAUCCAUAUUUGUACAUUAAGGAAUUUCUUGACAUAUGCUCUACAUUUCGUUUUCAAAAUUUUAAUGAUGAGUCAAUUAGGCUUCGUAUGUUCCCUUUCUCAUUAAAAGACAAAGCGAAAGCUUGGUUGAAUUCACUUCCUGCUGGGUCUAUUACUACAUAGGAUGAAUUGAGUAACAAGUUCCUCACCAAGUUUUUCCCUAUGUCUAAAACAAAUGCCCUUAGGAGAGAGAUAAGUGAUUUUUAUUAAAGAGAGGGUGAACAAUUGUACGAGUGUUGGGAAAGAUUCAAUGAUUUACUCCUCAAGUGUCCCCACUAUGGUUUUGAGAAAUGGAGACUUAUACAGUUCUUUUAUAAUUGUUUAACCAUGUCAAAUCAUCAUAUGGUAGAGUUUAUGAAUAGUGUAAGAUUUUUGAACCUACAUGAAAGGGCUGCAUGGAAUUUCUUUAAUUCACUUUUUGAGAAUUCUCAACAGUGGGAUUUUUCAAAUCAAAGAGAAAAAUCAUCUCAAGUUUUUAGAAAGGGUCUAUAUGAAGUUGAAGAUGAUUUUGAUGUGAAAGCCACUCUAGCUACUCUUUCUAGGAAAGUAAAUGCCUUAGCUAUGAACCAAUCCAUGAAUUAUCAUCCUAGUGUAGCAAAUGAGGUUUGUGCUCUUUUUUCUAACUUGUCUCAUACAACGCAUAAUUUUCCAUAAUUAUCGGCCUAUCAAGAGGCCUAUUCCGAGCAGGUACAUGUCCUGCAAUCAUAUGAGAAAACCUCCAAUAGUCCAUAUUCACCAUAAUUCUAAUUGGAGGAAUCACCUUAAUUUUUCUUGGAAACAAAAUCAACCUUUGUCAAACCAAGGAGGACAACAAUUUAGCAUGCCCAAUCAACAAUUUGUCCCUCCUAACCAAGUAUAUCCCCAUGCCAAACAACCUAUGUCUCAAUUUGCUGCACCCCAACAAAGAAAACCUUCUUUAUAGGGUAUACUUCAAACAUUCAUUCAGUCAACCCAACAAGCCUUUUAGUCAAACACGCAAGCUAUUCUAAAUCUUGAACAUCAAUUGGGUCAAUUAGCAACUAUUGUGGCUGAGAGAGAAAAAAGAAAAUUCCCAAGUCAAUUAGUUCCUAAUCCUAAAGGAGUGCAUGAAGUUGGAUCGAAUUCAAGCCAUCAGCAUGAAGAAGCAAAAUCUAUUAUGACCUUGAGAAGAGGAAAAUUAUUUGACAAUAAGGUGGAGGUUCGAACAAGAAAGACAUCCGAACCUGCUUCUUUAGAUUCAUUUCCAUCACAAGACUCAUCACCAAAUGAUCAAGAAUAAACUGGCCCACCAGCUUACAUUCCUAAGGCUCAUUUUCCUUAAAGGUUAGCAAAGGUAAAGAAAGGGACUUCAACAUGUGAGAUUAUGGAAAUCUUCAAGCAGGUAAGUAUAAACAUCCCUUUACUUGAUGGUAUUAAGCACGUUCCUUCCUAUGACAAGUUUUUUAUGGAUUUAUGCACUAACAUGUUACCAAAAAUGCAUUUUUCACUAAACAAACUAGCAAUUUACUUCAAUAUAAAAUGCCACCAAAAUUUAAGGAUCCAGGUUCUCCUAUUAUCUCAUGUGUUAUAGGGAGCCAAUUGUUUGAUAAAAUAUUAUUGGAUUUAGGCACUAGUGUUAAUUUCUUGCCUCAUUUUGUUUACAUGCAGCUUGGACUAGGUAAAUUAAAGCCAACUUCCAUUAUUUUACAGCUUACUGAUAGGUCAAUAAAAAUACCUCGUGGUAUUAUAGAGGAUGUGUUGAUACAUAUUGACAAACUUUAUUAUCCUAUUGAUUUUAUUGUUAUUAAUACUCUGCAUGUACAGGAUCCUAAGAAACACACCUUAGUUAUUCUAGGUCGUCAUUUCUUAGCUAUAGUUAAUGCUCAUAUUAGUUGCAGGACCGAAAACAUGCAAUUGUCUUUUGGUAACAUAACCAUGGAAUUAAAUAUUUUUAAUGUUACCAAGCAGGCACAAGACGAUGAUGAAGUCGUUGAAGUAGAUAUGAUAGAAGCAUCAAUUGAUGACUAAUUUAUUUUUAACCACUGUGACAAUCCAUUAACACCAUGCACAACUGACUCUAAUUUAUCUUUUGAUGUUGACAAUGGUACUGAAGAAGUUAAUGCUUUACUUGACUCAACUCUUAUCAUAAAUCUAAUUAAGUGGAAAGAAAAGAUUGAGCCACUUUCUCCUGAAGAGAAAAUUAAACCAUUCAGGUUGGAGCUACUUCUUAAAGAAGUGCAACAUAGUCACAUUCUGACACGAAAAAGGUGGUAAGAUCUAAAGUGCUUUAAUUAUUAGAUUUUUAUACUGCUUCAGAUAACUCUCAGGUAAGCUUGGAAUAGAAGAAAUCAAAGCAGUGCGAUACUGAGGAGUUUCAUUACCAUCAUCCUUUUAUAGAUAAAAUGCUCCAGUGCUUAGUCAAUUAUGUUUUCUGGUAUUUUCUGUAUAAUUACUUUGAUUUUCACCAAAUUCUUAUUGAUCUUGGUUGAUUUGUUGUUUACAUUAAUUAAUUAGUUUAGUAGGAUUUUAUUUAUUUUUCUUUUUUUAUUAUUUAUAUUUCUUCUAAUGUUUUCUUUUUAGUUGUCAUUUUCUUUUAAGCUUCUUGAGCCCAUUCAAGUGUGUUCUCUCCAACAUUUUCUUCUAUUAUUUAUGUUUUUUUAAUCUUUUUGCAUGCAGGUCUUUUAUUUAUGAAACAUUGAGGACAAUGUUCUGAAUAAGUUUGGGGGUGAGAAUAGUGUGUGUUUUGUUUGUUAUUAAAAAAAUCAAAAAAAAUUUAAAAAUUUAAAAAUUUAAAAUUUUUUUUUUCUUUUUGUUCUUAUGUGGAAAGCCAAUGAUAAGAAUUUGAUUGACAACGAAUAUGAUUCUUAGAAAGAGUUGAAUAUUGUCUUAGUUUAUACUUGGUUCUUGUGUUAAUUCCUCUUGAUUGAGAUUCUGUAAACACCAUGAGCACUAACAUCAGUUCUUUCAUAAUUUUGACUUGAAAUUUGAUAUUGACGCAGCCUAAGUUGAUAAUUUUAGAGAGAGUAAAUGAUUGUUUGUCUCGAUUCUUAUCUCCAUAGUACAAAAUAGUAUACACAGACACCAAAGUCAGAAAUAGCUACCUAUAACCCUUAAGAGUGAAGCUAUCAUUGAGUAAUUUGGGCCUAUAUACCACUAGUAUGUAGAGGAUAAUCUACCAUAAGAAGAAGGCUAACUUAAGGGGUAGAGUGAAAGCUCCUGACUAUGGUUAAAAAAAAAGAAAAAAAAUCAAGUGCAUGUACUAAAAAAAAAAUCAAAAGAAAAUGCACAUAAAAGCCUGUGGAAAAAAAAAUUGGAGAUCAAGAUGAUAAGAUUAGUUUGACCUACUCUUUUCUUUAUUCGAGAUGAAGGCUGUUGAUAUUGAAGAUUUUGAGAAUGUAUUUGAUUGAAUUGAUUUCACACACACACUACAAGAAUAAAAAAAGAGAUGUGAUUGACUAUUGAAUUAAAGUUAGAACUUUGCCAAUAUUUGAAAUUUUCUUUGAGCUAUAUAACUUAUUCAAUCUUUGAGGCUAGUUUUAUGUUUUAUUUAAAGUCCGUUGUUCUUUUUGUGUUAUUGUUUUUUCAAACAAAAGAAAAUGAUGUUUGUGGGUAUCAUUGUUGAAGUCCUCACGAGACUAUAACUCGUCCACUAGGGUCACCUAGGGGUUUAAGGGCUUGUUGCAUACGCUAAAUGCAAUCGCGAUUACAUGCGAAAGUGAUUUAGUUAGGAUUUAUUUUUCGUUACUUUUAUUUUUUUUAUUUUUAGUUUUAGUUUUGCUCGAGGACUAGCAAAAUCUAAGUUUGGGGGUAUUUGAUGGGCAUAUUCUAUAUACAUAUUUUACCCUUAAUUAUAUAAUUGUUAGUUAUUUUUAUUUGUUAUUUUUAAUUAAUUAAAUUAUUUUGUUGAAUAGGAAAUUAAUUGAAGAUCAAGGAUAAAAAGGUCAUGAAGAAGUUCAAAUUGGGAAGGAAUAAAGAUUAAAUUGGAAGAUAAAAAUACAGCUAAGAAUUAAUGAAAGUCAAGAAGACCAAAAUUAGAAUUCAAUCUCUUCAAAUAAUGAACGGUGGGUGUGCAGUUAGACAGCAAAGAUUUGGCAAUUUGGAAUGCAUGUGCAGGGCAUUAAAAGAAGAAAUUAUUAAUUAGCCUUUUGCUUUUAAGUUAAACGUGUGGCUAGCUUUCAAACCUUAAUAAGGAAACAAUUUAAAAAGGGCUUGGUCAGUGGGCUUUGUUAGGUCGGUGGGUGGCUAAGCAUUAUAAAAAGCCGACUUUGGCUUUUGAAAGAGCAGCCACCAGAGGAGAAGCCGUAAGACAGGAAGAAGAAAAGGAGUAGCAGCAAAUCAAUUUUCCCAUAACUGGUUUUAUUUUAUUUGUUACUCCCAGUUUAAGUAUGUCUAGCUAAUUUUCUUAUACUAAGGUUAAAGAUGAAGCCCUAUUCAAUGAAAUAAUUAUCUUUUAAUUAAUUCCAUAUCUAUGUUCUUUGAUGAUUAUGGUUUUUUUUUCACAUGAUUAGUUGGAUGUUAGUAAAUUCUUUUCACCAAUUCUGUCAUGCAUUAUUGAUUAAUAUUUGACUAAAUCUAUGCUUGGAUCAAUGAAGUCUAUACAUGAUUAUCUUUGAUUCUGUGUCUUUCACUAAAAUUUUUACACAGAGUGCUUAGAAAACUUUGACUCUUUGUUAUUCAAUAUGUUUACAUGGGAUGCUUAGAUAUCAUACUACUAAACAGAAAAGAACCUACAUUAGAUUUAAUUACUUGAGCUUAAUUGUUAUAUUUAUGAGAUGACAUAGAUUGAUUUCAAGUUGUCACUCUAAAAUUGGGGAUUAAUUAAUAAUUAGAUAAUCACUAGUUGAAUCAUGGUGGAUUUUGAAAUCUUGGUAAUUUUUGUCUUAUUAAAUUCUUAUUUGCUUUAAUUGUUUCCUUAGUUUAAUUAGUUUUAUUUUUCUUGCAAACUCAAUUUGCUCAACUAGGUUAUAAUUAAUAUUAAUUUUAUAUUAAAAUUAAACUUUUCAAUUUAUAACAAUUCUUGUUGGUUCGACCUCGUUAUCAUUAUUCUAUUUCUAGAUUCAUGUGCUUGUGAGUAUAUUAAAAUUUUUCACAAUAACGAAAAAGUAGCAGUUGAAAAAAAAAUGAGAGUGACAUUGCAUAGACUUGAUAGUGAAAUAUCAUUUUCUUAAUGCUAAUUUAUUCCGUUUAUAUUUGAUUGACUGAUACAAGCGGAAGGUUGUUAAAAAAUUGCUUGAAAUGCUUUAUAGGUGCAAAGAGCAAUUGCAGCACAUUUGCAAUGUAAAUAAGUAAGCACUUGACCAGUAUGUAAAGUUCACAGAGCAGAGAGAAGAACUCUAGAGAAGGCAUUAGUAGAAUAGUAGCCAUUAUAAAAAUUUCCACAAACAAAUUAAUUUACAUAGAAGUAGUGGCUAAAGAGUUAAGCAUACAUUAAUUUGUUUGUGGAACAUACAGCGAAAUUUCUAUAUUGGCUACUAUUUUACUAAUGGUUUCUUUCCACAAUUCCCAAUAUUAUGUUCUAUUGAAAACUAAGCAUACAUUAAAUUGCUUGUGGAAAUUUACAUAAGUCAAUAUAACAAUAGUUGAACAGGAUGCAAUUUGGGCGGAGAAGAAUGGUUUCUGUUCAUAAUUCCCAUUGUUAUGUUCUAUUGAAAAUUAAGCAUACAUUAAUUUGUUUGUUGAAAUUUACAUAAGUCAAUACAAUAGCAACUUAACUGGAUGUAGUUUGGGUGGAGAAGUAGUGGGCGUUGGUUUUGGUGGAGAUGUUGGCAUUAAAGAGGUACUGGAUAACUACAACUUUAAAUCAAAAGAGAGAGUUUAUGCUAAGAUUUGCCAUACAUAACUUCAACCGUAAAUCAAACUAAUGCUUACAAAUGGCAUGCGUCUAUAUCCACCACGUUGCAUACUACAUAACUCUUAUAAAUCUUUCUAAUGGAGAAAGGAACACGACAAACCUCUGUUACUAUAUUUUGUGAGGUACUGAAUAUUUUUCUAUUGAAAGUCCUAUCAGAUCGACUAGUGCCAUUAAAACUAUAAUCUUGCUGAGGUCAAUUAUCAAGUUCCAUACCUUAUCGUUGAUGGUGCCGCGUGCACUGAUUAUCCUUUUCAAAUCUUGGUGCUAAUAAAAUCUUCUACACAAUGCAAUUCAACAUCUAUCCUUCAUCUACCACCAACUCUAAAGCUUCUUCAUCAUCCAAAUCCUUGACAUUAUUCACCUCUGUCUCGCUGACUUCAGCUUCUAUUAAAUUUAAAUUUUCAGGAAGAUAGUCACUCGAUCGAUGGCUUGGCUCUCCACACUUCAGACACUUAUUCAGCAUAGGCUUUGCCUAUGGGUUAUUCUGUUGCUGCCUAGUUGGUUGUUGCUGUGUUGUGGCUACUACUGUCUAGUUGGCUGCUGCCUCAGCUGUUGCUUUGGCAAUUGUUGCAUUUGACUACUUCCAACCUGUGGUUUCUACUUUUUCUCUACCCCAAUACCACUUGGUCUACUCCGCAGGCCAGUGAGUUGUUGCUGCUUAGUACUAGAAACAACUUGUUGCUUCUAUUUUUCCAACCUUUUAGCCCUAGUGACUGGGGAACCCAAGUCCCAAAUUAUAUAUACUAUUCCAUCUUGUAUCUUUUAUUUCAAUUUGCCAAUAUAAUUCGUAAUUGCUAGAAAUUCUGGCUCUUCCUUAUUAUUUCUCAUAUGCAGACAAUAAAAUUCUUUAGUAUACUCAUCCAUGCUGCAAUUUUCUUACCUAUAAUCCUAAUAUUUGAUAUACAGCUGCUACCAGUAAUCUGCUGGUAGAAAAUGCUCUUUCACCAUCUUCUAUAUUCUAGGCCACAAUUUUAUAAAUUAUUUUCCCACAACCCUUCUUUGGUUUUAUAUGUGUUGUUACUAUAUAGAAGCUACGCCCUUCAACUUAAAUGCCAUAAGCUUAAUCCACUUCUCUUGAGGAAUCUCUACAUACUCGAAGAAUUAUCACCAUUGAAAUCCCGUAUACAAUUUCUUUGACAUGCAUACCACCAUAAAAAUCUGGAAUAUUAACAUUAAUCUUGUAAUCUAGACUUUUUCCACACCUCCUAUCAUCGUCCAUAGAUUCUUUUUCUUUUGAAUCGCUUCCUAACUCCUCAUACAUGUGCACUCGCAUUCUUCAUGUGAGUCUAAAUUAUGAGGCACUAUUUUGUAAAUUAAUGCCUUGAGGUUUUAUUUCGUGAUUGACCUCCUGAAGCAUCUUCACGUGGUUGUAAUCGUUGGCUGUGCACCAUGUUUCACUCCUUAAUGUUCUUCCUCACGAUUAACUCCUUGCUGUUGACCUCUUCUAUUUUCAUUCAAUGAAAGCUUAAGACUCUCAUUUGCUAACUCUAUCACCUUCAAUCUCGAGUCAUAAGCAUCCUCAAUCACUUGCAAGCCUGCUUCACUGGCAGCCUGUCUGACAGCCUCUACAGUCUGUGCUUGCAUAAUUUGAUCAUCGUCUUCGGGACAGUUGCCCCUUUAUUCGCAUGGUCGUACCAUGGUGACAAGCGAAUUUGCUCUGAUAACAAUUGAUGUAGCGGUGUAGUGGAAGUAUAAUUUAUAGGAUAGAUAAUAAAUAUCAUUCUAGUAUUGGACUAAGCCAACGCGAUUAACUUACACUCUAAUCAAAGUGUGAUUAGAUCUCAUUCUAAACAAAAUGACUCAACGAGAUUUUAAUAAUGCAUGAAGUGAGAUUAGAUGAUAUUCUAAUCUAAAUGACUGUAUAAGAUAGAUUUUUAUCGAUAACCUAGAGGGAAUUAUAAAAGGGGGAUUUUAUUGAUUAAUAGAAUUGAAGUUACAAUAAUAAAACCUCUCUAUUUAUAAUAAAGGAAACCUACUUCCCUAAGUUAACUUAAAAAGGGAAACUAAAUUGAUGUUGCAAUAGAAAUAAAAGAUUAAGAUACAUACUGUAAUUAACUCUAAUGAAAAUAAAAAAUUUAAAAAUAAUAAAAAUUUCUAGAAUCCUAAAGUAACAUCUUGCAUCAAAGAUUAGUAUCAAACUGUCUUCAAUUAAAAUGGUUGCUGGUUUUUUUCUUUUUUCUUAAGCCGUGGUGUGAUCUGCGGUCUCAGUCAGAUGUUUGCUGAAAAUAAAAAUCAUCUUUUAAGGAGAUAUUUCAUAAAACAAGUGACAUACAUUCAAGUAGCAGAACAAUCUAAAAUCAUUUCAAUAAGAUAUAAUCAAUCCCUAUUACUAUUACAAACUCUAAGUAAUUUCAAUUGAAAAUACUACACAUCCAAUCAUUACCUGAAAUCAACAUCACUCUUGGUGGAAUCAGUGAAGAAGUGUCGUUUUGACGGAACCGACGAAAUUAGAAAAUAAGUUUUAAAUGCAUCAUUAAUAUAUCUAGCAUUAUUGAUAAAAAUAAAAACAUAAAGUAGGCCAAUAUCAUUGUAUUAAAUAAAAGGAUCAUAUAGUUAAUUUAACCUCUUACAGUUGAAGUAAAAUAACCCUAGACACAUUUAAUUCGGAAGAUGAGGUGGGGUGCAUGAUAACUUAAAAAGUAAACUAAUGCCAUGCAUGUUACUAUUAAAAGAAAUAUCUUCAAAAUCAUUUUAGGUACAUUUUCGGUUAGCCUUAAAAAAGGAUGCACAAAAUCUAUAUAUUCUAUUUUAAUCAAGUGUAAAAAAAUGCUAUAACUUCAAUUCCUAUUUUGAUGAAACAACUCGAAUUGUUAUGUAGUCCAAUUGCGACAUGCAUAUUUGAUAUGAGCUUGAAUGUCGCUUGAAAUAAAAUGCUUGGUGUAGGCGAAGAACAAAAUAAAACCAUGUAUAAUUAAAUGGAAAACCCCUUUUCAUCCUUGAUUUUGAUGCAAUAAUUCAUUUCAUCCUUAUUUUUUGAACAAUAGCUCAAAUCAUUUAACUAAAUUUAUUGUAUAAUUCAUUGAGGACAAAAUAAAACUUUCAGAUAUAUAUAUAUAUAUAUAUAUACACAUACAUAUAUAUAAGCCGAAAGGAAUUUACAUUUAGUACAAAUAGAUGUAGGCAAUUAGAACCCCAUAACUAAUUAAUUAACGACUUAAAUUCUUUAAAUUCCUUAAUAGAGUGAAGCAUAAGAAAAUCUCCAAUAUAAUUAACCUAAUUAUAUUAAAAACACUAAAUUAAUUUUCUAAAAACACGAUUUGUAGUUACUAUUUUGAGUACUAUUCACUGUUACUGUUUAUAAAACGUUGUACCAUAUUGUCACCUCAAGAGUAUUUUAAAGUAUAUCCCAAAACAAUUUUUGAUGUCUUGCACGUAGAAAUUAGUUGAUGUUGAAACAUAUCAACUCCAUUAACAAUAGCAUUAAGUCCUUUUUCGUUUAUCCUAAUGCAUUGAGUUUGUCAUUAGACCAUUCAAUGACUAGGUUUGAAGAUUCCACACCAUUUUAUCAGUUUUGGUGGGUGGAGUGUAUCCAGUAAGUACACAUUACCAAACUCUUUCAUCAAUAGCUAUCAGACAAAUUUCUAUCUUUUAUUGUUUUUUUUCUAUUUUUUGGGUGAAGAAUUUACUACCAAUGGCUACAAUUAAGAGAAUGAAUUAUUUCUUUCUUUUAAAUAGAAGAAACUCAAUUGCUGAAAUGAGAUUUAAUAAUAAAAAUUAGAGAAUUGAAUUUACACAAUAAAUUUUACGUAAGGGUAUUUUUAUUAUUGAUGGAGCUGUUAAAAGAAUUUUAUAAUUUUUUAAAAUAUUUUAAUGGAAUUAAUUACGAAAAGGGGUGUUAAGAGAUAUUUAUUGACCAUUUUAAUAAUUAUUAUCUUUUCAAGGAUUUAAAAAUCUAUAGGUGUAACGGACAGCUAAUGUAAUGUAAGCGUUAUCUAAUAUAUGAGUUGAUGAACCAUCACGGGUGAAAUCAAAAUAAAAAAAAUAACAGAAGUCAAUAAUGGCAUUCAAAAUAAAAAAAAUUAAAACAAAAAGCAAAUAAAGCCAUUGGAUUCUUUUUUUUUUAAUUGUUUCUGAAUAUUAAUACGUUAAAAUAAAAGAACUUGUUAAUAUUUAUCAUAAAAAUAUUAUUGAUACAAUCCUACGUCAAUUUUGUUAUAUUAUAGUACAAUUCGAAAGUUUUAUUUUAUUUUAAAAUAUAUUUAUCCUACCAUAUUUAUAAAAGAAAUUAUAAAAUAAUUAAAUUAAGAUAAAAUCUUUCCUCCAAUCAUAGUUGUUCAAGAUUCAAGCGUUCUCUAUAGUGACUAAAUUUUAUAAAAAAUGUAUCUUCUUCCUUAUUCUACUUUAUAACCUUUCUCUUGUGAUCGAAAAUAAGGUCUUAGGAAGUAUAGAUUUGGAUAGAUUAGAGAUCCUUUUUAUAAUAGACCAGAGAACCUUUUUAUAAUAAUAUUUUAUAACUUACAAGACUUUCCACUUCCUUCCAUCAAAGAAGUGAAAUUUAUAACCUUUAUCACUUCUAUUAUGAAAAUGAUUAGUAAACUAUAAGGCUAUCCCUCGAAAUAAGUAAGUAGAUUAUUAAUAUGAGUUUAUCUAUUUAUUUAUUUUUAAAAAUCACUUAUCAUGAGAACUAUAUAAUAAAAAUUUGUGGAGAUAUAUCUACGCACAUUUAAUUAUAUAAUUGAGAUAAGAAAUUAGAGGUCCAAGAAGUUGUAUUUAGAUUUGCAACCUCAAAGUUGAGGUUAUGGCAGGCAAAAGAAAAAGGAGAAGCAUGUGCUUUUGAGAAAGGAACCCAUACAAACAAUUGCAAAUUAAGCAAAAUCGGAAUUAAACAAAUUAAGCAUGUGUUUUUUUACUCUUUAUGUGAUAAAAUCGGAAUGUGUACCAUAAAUAAAUAAGCAGAAAAUAAACUAAUACAAUCUAAAAUAAUAAAUCAACCAUAAGAGACAUAUUUUUAGAUGGAAAACCUAAAUCGAGAAAAAAACCAUAGAACUAUAGUCUAAUAUAACCUUCAACUAUAUUAAUAAGGGGAUUACAACACAUAUUCUUCUCUAGAUAACAUUAGAGGCUAACAACAUUAAGAAUCUCAACAAUCUUGGCUUAUAGUAAUAAUUUAAUAUUUGUCUCUCUAACAAAUGAGUAAUCUCAAAUAACAGGCAAUGAGAGAAUUACAUAAAAAUCAAGACCAGUAAAAAUGUAGAGGGCGAUGUCAGAAAUUUACCUCCAAAUUUGGGAGAAAACAGAGUUAAGUUUGCCUUUCUAUCAUCCAAUCAAAGAUUAAGAUCCUUACCUCCAAAUUGGAAUAAUCGGCCAUUGUAUAUUUUGAAAGCCAAAUUUAAUGGUAAUUUUCAAUUAGUCAUAACCUGUUUUCUUUAAUUAUUUAAACACCCAAAAUAAUGGAAACUUUGAGUUGGGCCACCCAAAUGAAAUAGACCUAACAAAUCUUCCCCACCAGGUUAUGUGGAGGGCACCACCAAGCCCGUUCUCGGUUUACAUUCUUUCAACUUUUCCUUGGGCAACGACUUUGUCAUCAUAUCUAACCUAUUCUUCAUGAAUCUUCUCAAGCUGUAAUUAUUUCUUUUCAAGUAUGUCUUGUAUGCAAUGAUACCUAACAUUAAUAUGCUUGGAUUUCGAAUGCUAUGUUGAAUUCAUUUCCACGUGAAAGGACUUUGACUAUCACAGUACACAACAUAGCUAUCUUGUUUCACAUCUAGCUUUUGUAAAAAAUUCUUCACCACAAGGUUUCAAAGAAAACUUCAAUGAUUGCAAUAUUGAUGAAUAAAUAAAGAAAAGCAAACAAAUACUUUGCUUUCGGUGAAACUUUCAAAUAUCAGUCUUUAUGACUUUAAGCUACAUUUACCAUGUCGAAUUGAAUUGGACUAAUUAUUAGAAUAAGACUGGAUUAGAUUAUAUUGGAUUAAGCUAGUGUAUAUUAUAUUGUCUUAUGUUUGGUGUAGUACCAAAUUAAACUAUGUUAAAUUAUAUUUAAAUGAUAUUAAAUAGCAUUUAAGUUUAUAUUUGAAUAUGAACAUCACUUAUUCAUGAAAUUUUAUAACAAUAAGUAAAUAAAUUUAAAAAGCAAUUAAUUAGAAAAUUAAGUAUAUUGUAAAUAAGUUAUUAGGUAGUCAUAAUAUAAUAAACAAAUAAAAAAGAAAUUAAAAAAUUUAAAUAUUUAAUUAAUUUUUAUCAAAUAAUUAAAAAAAUUAUAUAAAAUCAAUUAAUUAUUAUUUUUUUAAUUUUUAUGAUUAUUUUUAAGAAUCCACCUACAUUACAACAAUUACACCAUACCACACCUUUUUAUCGCUAUUUAGUAGAGUCGUUGGAUGCUUUAUUGUUCAAUGUAACCGCUGCAUAUAUAUAUAUUAAAUCAAACAGGUGUGCGGUUACUUUGUACGUACAACUUGGGUUCUUGCCUUGCUGCCGUCAUGGAGAAUUAAUGCCACUGGUCAACGGUGAAUCAAUGGCCAUCGGGCACCAAAUUCAUGGCCAAUCAAUGGCCAACAAGCACCAAAUUAAUGCCAAGCACACCAACAACCUCCGAUUAAAUGGCAAGUUUAGUGUUUUAAAGUUUAGAAUAUGGAGAAGCACUUGCUACUGUAUCCAGGUAUUAAAUCAUCAAAAACCAAUUUGGUUUGGACUCUUCAAUUCCAAUUUGACUCCUACACCAAUACCACCCAACAACAACUCAACAACCGAAUCACUCGUCCUAAUAUCAUAGCAAUCCAGUCGUCGGUUGCCCGCACGUGAGAGACUAUUUUCUUAUUCGUGCUCGGAAUUGUUGAAUUAAUUUUACAAUUCUCUUGCACCAAUUUUCAUCAUAUAUGCUGCCUCAAGAAGUGAAGAUCGAUGUCGGAAUCACUUUAAUUUAGUUUCAAUUACAUGAUGUUUGGGAUCUUCUUAUACCAAUUUCGGUCUACAAUUGCCUCAAGUAUCCAUGUCCGUCAAAUCUUAUUUGUAUUAAAGCAACCACCUAAACCGUUAACUUGUUUGAUUUAAAAAACAAAUAUUUGAAGCUGUUAGAUUGAACUCGUGUGUAAAUUAGGAUUACUAAUCCAAUAAUUUUAAAAUUAAAUUCAAAUUUAGUUUCUUUUAAUUCAAUUCAAGUAAAUUUAUUAAAUAUGAAAUAAAUAUUUAAUCUUAAAAUUAAUCCAAUUGGAUACUUAAUCCUGUCAUCCAGACAAGGCCUUAUUUGCCUUAAAGGCAACUUAAAAAGAAGUGUGACCGAAAACGUUUAUGAAGCCAUUUUUUUAUCGGGUUCAUAUAUAUAUAUAUAUAUAAUCUUUAUGCCAAUGAAGCGCCCGUCAAUCAGCGAAGUUAAUUUUUUUUUUUCAUUUCUUUUUCGACUGUGAUUCCGGAGGCUGCUGUCAAGACAAGAUUCCAGAGGAUGCUGAUAAGACAAAUUCAAAUUGACCUUUUUAAUAAUUAUUAUGUUUUCUAAGGUUUAAAAUUUUAUGUGUAACGUACAGCUAAUGUGAUGUAAGUUUUACCUGAUGUAUGAGUUGAUGAACCAUCAUGGUGAAAUCAAAAUACAAAAAUAAUAGAGGUCAAUAACGGCAUUCAAAAGAAAAGAAAAAUUAAAACACAAAGAAAAUAAGGCCGUUGGAUUCGUUUUUUCAAUUUUUUUUUUCUGAAUAUUAAUACGUUACAAUGAAAGAACUUGCUAAUAUUUUCCAUAUUGAUCAGGAUAAAAAGAUUGUUGAUACAAUCAUACGUCAAUUUUGUAAUAUUAUAGUACAAUUAAAAAGUUUUAUUUUAUUUUAAAAUAUAUUUAUCCUACAUAUUUAUAAAAGAUAUUGUAAAAGAAUUAAAUUAAUUAAGAUUAAAUCUUCCUGCAAUCAUACUUGUUCAAGCUUCAAGUGUUCUCUACAUUCACUAAAUUUUAUAAAAGUAUCUUCUUACUUUUUCUACUCUAUACCCUUUCGCUUGUGGUGGAAAAUAAAUUCUUAACAAGCAUAAAUUUGGAUAGGCUAGAAACCCUUUUUAUAACAAUAUUUUAUAACAUAGAAGACUUCACACUUCCUCCAUCAAAGAAGUGAGUUUAAUAACCUUUAUCACUUCGAUUAUGAAAAUGAUUAGUAAACUAUAAUGCUAUCCCUUGAAAUAAAUAAGUAGGUUAUUAAUAUAAGUUUAUCUAUUUAUUUAAAAAAAAUCACUUAUCAUGUGGACUAUAUAAUGAAACUUUGUGGAGAUAUAUCUACCCACAUUUAACUAUAUAAUGAGAUAAGAAAUUAGAGGUCCAAGGAGUAGUACUCAAAUCUACAACCUCAAAAGUUGAGGUCGUGGCAGGCAAAAGAAAAAGGAGAACCAUGUGUUGUUGGGAAAGGAACUUACAUGAGUAACUGCAAAUUAAGCAAACACUAAAAUUUUCCCUCUUUAUAUGAUAAAAUCGGAAUGUGUAUAAAAAAAUAAACAAGUAAAAAAUACACCAACACAAUUGAAAACAAUAAAUCAACCAUAAGAGAUACAAAUUAUUUUAUGUGGAAAACUCAAAUCGAGAAAAAACCACAGGACCAUAUAGGGGCGGAUGCAUCAUAUGACCAGUGGGGACUUGAGCCUCCACUGGCCAAAAAAAAAUUCUAAAAUUGAAAGAGAAAAAUAUUUUAGUUUUCUAAUUAACCCCCAUUAAAUUUAUUAAAAUAGUCACUAUAAAUUAUAAAACCCUAUAAAAUUUAAACUUUAACUUUUAAAAAUUAUAAAAACUUAUAUUUUAAUUAAAAAUAAUGAUAGCCCACCACCCAAAAUAUUUUAUAUUCUUAAAAAUAAGAUUAAUUCUUCAAGUUUCUAUAAUAAUAGUAGAGCGAAUGUUUUCAGUAAUGAAACUCAUGAAGAAUCAUCUUUGGAAUCGGAUGGGAUAAAUGAUAGUUUUGUUGUUUAUAUAGAAAACAAUAAAUUUAAUAAUAUUGAUGAUGAGUCUACUGCAUAACAUUUUUAAAAUAUGAAAAUGCAUAGAGAAUAAUUAUAAAUGUAUUAGCAAAUAAUUUAUAUAUUCAAAAUUUUAGUUUUUCAUAUUUUACUACUAUCUAAUUUAGCCCCCAGUAAAUUAUUUUUCUAGAUCCGCCACUGGGACCAUAGUCCAAUAUAACCUUCCAUUAUAUUAAUAAUGGGAUUACUACACAAAUUCUUCUCUAAAUAAUACUAGAGGCAAACAAUAUCAAGAAUCUCAACAAUCUUGCUCAUAGUAAUAGUCUAAUAUUUUUCAUUCUAACAAGUGGGUAUCUCAGAUAACAACCAAUGAGAGAAUGAAAUAAAAAUCAAGACCAGUAAGAAUGUAGAGGGCGAUGCCAGAAAUUGCCUUCCAAAUUUGGGAGAUUAAGUUUGCCUUUCGAUCGUCCAUUCAAAGAUUAAAAUCCUUACCCCCAAAUUGAGUCUGCCACUGUCUUCUUUUUCUCUCUCAUCUUUUCUAUGUUUUUAAGGCUGCUGCUUCACUUGUCUACUUUUUCUUUUAUAGCCAGGUGAUUUUCAAAGCCAAAUUUGAUGGCAAUUUUCAAUUAGCCAUAACAUAUUUCCUUUAAUUUCUUAAACACCCAAACUAAUGGAAACUUUGGUUUGGGCCACCCAAAUGAGAUGGAUUCAACAAAUCUUCCCAUCAGAUCAUAUGGGGGGCACUACCAAGCCCGUUCUCUACUUACAGUCUUUCAACUUCUCCUUGGGCAACGACUUUGUCAUCAUAUCUGACACAUUCUUCAUGAAUAUAGUCGGGCUGCAACUAUUUCUUUUCAAGCACGUCUUGUAUUCAUUGAUACCUCACCUUAUAUGCUUGAAUUUUGAAUGGUAUGUUAAAUUCAUUACCAAGUGAGAGCACUUUGAUUAUCACAGUACACGACAUAGCUAUUUUGUUUCACAUCCAGCUCUUGUGAGAAAUUCUUCACCACAAAGGGUUUUAGUGAUUGCAAUAUACUCUGCUUCUAUGGUGGAGAAAACAACACGAAGUUUGAAAUCCUCUUAGACUACCCCCCUGCAAAGGUAAGCAAAUAUCCUGAUAGGAAUUUUCUAGGAUCAACAUCUCUUGCCAUAUAUGUUGUACACUUAUAACACAACUUGUCACCAUUAAAACAUAAACAUGUCUUGGAAGUGACUCUGAGAUAUCUGAGGGUCCAUUUCACUGCUGUUCAGUGUUCUUUGCCUGUACUAUAAAGAAACUGACUGAGUACACCAACUGCAUGUGCAAUAAUUGGUACAAGCCAUGGCGUACAUCAGUCUGCGAAGUGUUGAAGCAUAAAAUAGUCCUUUCAUCUGCUGCUUCUCUUUCUCGCUUGUAGGAAAAUGCUUGGAACUAAGCCUCAAAUGGCCCGCAAGUGGAGAACAAACAUAUUUUGCCUUGCUCAUGUUAAUUCUUUCAAGAGCACUUUCAAUAAAUGCUUCUUGAGAUAACCAUAACUUGCCAAUUUUUCAGUCAUAGGAAAUGGUCAUGCCAAGAAUGUAUAUUGUCGAUCCUUGAUCUUUUAUUAUAAAUGACUUGCUAAGCUUUUUCUUUAGAUUAUCAAUCUUACUAGCAUCAUGGUCAACAAUUAACAUAUCAUCCACAUAAAGAAAAAGAAUGAUAAAAUUAUUAUCACCAAGCUUCUUUACAAAAAGACAAUAUCUUGCUAAAACCAUGAUUCUCUGUAAAAAAAUCAAACUUUUUGUAAUAUAGUCUUGGUGCCUAUUUCAGUCAAUACAAACUUUUCUUCAACUUGCAUACACUUUCUUUGUUGCCUUUAACAUUGAAUCAUUCAGGUUGCUCCAUGAAUAUCUCCUCCUUUAAGUCACCAUGCAAGAAACUCAUUCUCAUAUCCUAGAGACUUUCUAUCCAUCAACAUCCAAGAUUUAUCCAUAUUUAGACUAUUAACUUUCCUACAAAUGCAUCACAUUUCAUUUGUUCAGUUUUAUUAAUAUUGGAGUUUGAUAUUGUUUCCAACCAUAAGAACAACUAUUAAAGUUACAAAAUCAACAAGAAAACAGCAGUUAAAAUACAAUAAAAAAUAACACUUAACAGCAAGAGAAAACCUAUAUCUUCAUCAUGACUAAUUAUAACAGUAAUAUUAUAAGCCAUAUACCAUAAAUCAUGGAAAGAGCAUGUUGAUGCUGAAAUCUGAACUAGUUGGUUAGAGACUCAAUAUCAGAUCCCUGCAUCAGCAUUAAAUUUGUUUGGUGGGAAGCUGCUGGUUGAUCUCUAAGAAUAUUCUCUGACUAUGAGCAGAACAUUCAUGAGCAUAUAAUCUUCAAGCUGACGAUCAAUAAGUACCUGAAAUUACAGAGAAUUGUCAGAGGUGCUGGAAGUUUUUCCGGCGUAAACCCUCCAACGCUCAAGUCAGUUAUGGGGGUUACAGGAAAAACCAAAUAUGCCCCUUUUCAUAUGGCUUAAUAAACAUUGCUUUAAAACCAAAAGCUUUUUGAAUAAUUUGCAGAAAAAUAAAAUAGAGUAUCCAGAAAGGAUUUCUCCAUCAGAUCCAAAGAAAAAAGAGCCCCCCCUCUGGCGUGGUUUUCUCGGGGUUUUUAUGAACACCCUACACCCACGACCUUAGAUCGUGCCAAUAACCAUUAAUUGAUCAAAUUCGUGCCCUCAUUUUUCGGAGGAGCUUUGUGGUGGUUUAUUUUAAUUGAGUCUUUAUUCCUGGUCAUCACCUGGUCGAGGUGAUCUGCUCAAGCUCAUAGCACCUGAUCGAGGUGAUCUGCUCCACCUCAUAGCACCUGGUCGAGGUGAUCUGCUCCACCUCAUAGCACCUGGUCGAGGUGAUCUGCUCAAGCUCAUAGCACCUGAUUGAGGUGAUCUGCUCCACCUCAUAGCACCUGGUCGAGGUAAUCUGCUCCACCUCAUAGCACCUGGUCGAGGUGAUCUGCUCCACCUCAUAGCACCUGGUCGAGAUGAUCUGCUCCACCUCAUAGCACCUGGUCGAGGUGAUCUGCUCAAGCUCAUACCACAUGCUCAUCUGCUCAAGCUCACACCACCUGGUCAAGGUGACCUGCUCAACCAUUUGCUCACUUUCACUCGGAGGAGAUCAUGGUCACUCUAUUUAAUUCCUCAAACACCAGUCCCCCAGUUUCUAGUGUUGAGAGUAAAACAAAUCAAUACUGGAAACUAUAAAGUUUAUAAUUUUGGCAAACCUAUGCCUUAGGAAUAUUUUUUGCGAAUUUUUCCCAAUUGUCCUCACACGACUGAGCAGGUUUGGGCAAAUCUUUACUUUGGCAAAUUUUGCAAGAUAUGGCUGCUGGUCCUUCAAACGACCGAGCAGGAGUUGGCCCAUGUUUGCCUUAGUAAAAUUUAAUAGACUUUAGCUGUUGGUCCUUUAAACGACCGAGCAGGAAUAGGCACUUGCAUGCCUUAGUAGAAUUUACGAAAUAGCCUGCUGGUCCUUUAGGCGACCGAGCAGGAGUAGGCACAUGCUUGCCUUAGUAGAAUUUACGAAAUAACAUGUUGGUCCUUUAGGCGACCGAGCAGGAAUAGGCACUUGCUUGCCUUAGUAGAUUUUUUACAGAAUUAGCUGCUGGUCUUUCGUUGACCGAGCAGAAGCAUGCACUUUCUUGCCUUCGUAGAAUUUUCGUAGAUUAGCUGCUGGUCUUUUGGUGACCGAGCAGAAGCAGGCACUUUCUUGCCUUAGUAGAUUAGCUGCUGGUCUUUCGUUUGACCGAGUAGAAGCAGGCACUUACUCGCUUUAGUAGAUUAGCUGCUGGUCUUUCGUUUGACCGAGCAGAAGCGGGCACUUUCUUGCCUUAGUAGAUUAGCUGCUGGUCUUUCGUUUGACCGAGCAGAAGCAGGCACUUACUCGCUUUAGUAGAUUAGCUGCUGGUCUUUCGUUUGACCGAGCAGAAGCAGGCACUUACUCGCUUUAGUAGAUUAGCUGCUGGUCUUUCGUUUGACCGAGCAGAAGCGGGCACUCUCUUGCCUUACUAGAUUAGCUGCUGGUCUUUCGUUUGACCGAGCAGAACCAGGCACUUACUCGCUUUAGUAGAUUAGCUGCUGGUCUUUCGUUUGACCGAGCAGAAGCGGGCACUCUCUUGCCUUACUAGAUUAGCUGCUGGUCUUUCGUUUGACCGAGCAGAAGCAGGCACUUACUCGCUUUAGUAGAUUAGCUGCUGGUCUUUCGUUUGACCGAGCAGAAGCGGGCACUCUCUUGCCUUACUAGAUUAGCUGCUGGUCUUUCGUUUGACCGAGCAGAACCAGGCACUUACUCGCUUUAGUAGAUUAGCUGCUGGUCUUUCGUUUGACCGAGCAGAAGCGGGCACUCUCUUGCCUUACUAGAUUAGCUGCUGGUCUUUCGUUUGACCGAGCAGAAGCAAGCACUUUCUUGCCUUCGUAGAAUUUUCGUAGAUUAGCUGCUGGUCUUUUGGUGACCGAGCAGAAGCAGGCACUUUCUUGCCUUAGUAAAAGUCUCAUAAAUUUAGCUGCUGGCCCUUUCAUAAAUCAUUCUCAUAUUGAGCAACUUUCCAGAUAUCAAGUUGAUUGAGUUAUAUCACUAGCUUUAAUAUGAGCUCUAUCAGUUUGACAUGUACAAACUAUCCUCAUUUGAUAAAUUACUAGUAGGUAAAUACUAUAGCUGCAAAUAAAGGCUGCAAAUGCAUGUUUUCAUGUAGACAUCAAGACAUAAAUUUGUUAAAAUUUCUGACCUGAUUAAGAUGCAACUUUUUGCAUCAAUGUCUCCUUCCAUGUGCAUAGCUUGCCUCAUUCGCAAAUGUAUCAAAAUUGACAUUUUGUAGUGAAAUUGCAUAACAGAAUUCCCUGCAUAUUCUUCAGACGAAAAUGAGCUGUCUGAUUCCUGCAAACGUGUGCAGCCAAUGUGCUCUCAUUUGAGGUUUUUGAUUCAAAUCCUUGAAUAUGGAUCUGUUCUGUAAAAGAAUUUGAAAAACUUGUCUAGCGAUCUGAGCCAAAUCUGAAUUGGCCAUAAUACUACAAACUGGCUGCUCCAUAAUCAUUAAAAAAUCAUUGCACUCAUAAAUAUGACUUUCUAAUAUUAUUCCCAUGUAAAAUUUUGGAUUGAAUACUUAAGAAAGCAUGUCCAAUUCUUAAAUUGAUAAAAUAUCUAUGUAUCUAUUUUAUACAUGAUUGGUUAUGUUAUCAUGUUGUGAAAUCAAGUACUAAUUCCUCACAUUCCCAUAUGACUGCAGAAUUUACUCCUGAUAUUCCAGGAUCGUUGUGGAAUGAAUUCCUGACAUUUUGAGAUCAUCAAUUCCAUAAUGCACUAUCAAUUUAAAGUUACAUGUCUCAACAAGAGAUUUGUGCUCAUGCAUGCAUCAUUGAUGCUAAACAUAUGCGUGAUGAUAAAAAGAAUAUUCAGCUAAGAAUAAUUUUUUAGUUAAAAAAUGGGAUGCAUUUGCAAACCAAUCUGAUUAGUUUUAAUGUGCAUAAGACAGGCAAGUUGCAACAAUAGCAGUAUUACAAUUUGCAAAAAUUGAAUGAUAUAAAAUAAUCAAGGAAGUGGUUCGAGUGCACCUGUAAUUGACCAUUUGAAAUAUGGCUUCUGACCUUUGGUAAAUUUUUUUUUUUUUUUGUGAACUUCGUUCUGCUCUAUUGUUGUGACUAUACUUCCCCUACAACUUCUGAGCUUCCUUUCAUUAUCACUGUGAAAACCUUCAUACUUGCUUGAUGAACGCUCAUGGUAAUUGAAAAAAAACUGAGAAAGAAUUUCUUUGUUCCUGAAUGGACAAUCAUUUGCCUUUUUCCCAACUUAUUUUUUAUUAUUAAUGCUUUGCCUUCCAUUUGCCUUCCUUGAUUCUGAUCUAGCUUACUCAGCAUAUCCUUUUAUAAGCUUAAUAAAACAUUUAAAUGAUCUAUAACUUAUGAAAAUUGUGAGUAGAAAAAUAACAUAAUUCGUUUAGACUUUCUAUCAAAUAAUUGGUGGGCUUAACACCAUGUCCUGAUUAUGUGAUUAUCUUCCUUCUGAUUUUACCCAAAAAUUUCACAAUAAAAAGUAGUUAAUCUAAGGUAGCUUAAGCAACAAAGGCAUGGAUAUGUUCUUAAACAUAAAAGCCAAACAGGUAAUUCUGAAAACGAUAAGUGCGCAGCACAUGCUUUCAAGCGAUUAAAGUAAGCAUGUUGUUUUGACAAUUGGAUGGCAAGCACAUGAUUAACUAAAGACAAAUGGCAAGCACAUGAUUCCUGUAAGUUCUCAUGCCAUGCACUGGACUUCAAAUCCUAACUCUGUUAAAAUGCGUCUCGAUUCCAUUUACUGAAGCUUAUUCCUCAUUCCAUUUCGAGGAUUUGGAACUUAUUUAACGAUAACUGAAGCAUGCAGUAAAUGAACAUUUGAUUCUAAAUCUUCAUGCCACAAUGCAGGUGAUGGCAACUUAAACAAAUUGAUCUUUGUGAUUUAAUCAUGUAUAGCCAUAAAUGAAAAGCUCUUAUAUUUAAAAUGAAUUUAUACUCACAAUUAUCAAAAUUAUGCAAUCAAAUAAACUGAUUUUCGUAAUUUCAUAUUUCAAACUGCAAAAUUUUUUUUUUGAUGAAGACAAGAAUCAAGUUCUCGUCAAGCUAAUGUGUGAAUUAAAGUGAAAAGUCGAUGACUUACGAAUGAGCAAAUUCCUUUAAUGCCCGAAUUUGGUCACUAGCCUCUGGGCUGUCCUUAAUCAAGAUUCGUCCCCAACAAUUUAGUUUGCUAAUCACUUCUGCUUCGGUCAAAUCCAAACUGGUAGAGACAAUGAUGACUUUUUGUACCGAUCCCCACAGACGGCGCCAAAUGUUGAUGCUGAAAUCUGAACUAGUUGGUUAGAGACUCAAUAUCAGAUCCCUGCAUCAGCAUUAAAUUUGUUUGGUGGGAAGCUGCUGGUUGAUCUCUAAGAAUAUUCUCUGACUAUGAGCAGAACAUUCAUGAGCAUAUAAUCUUCAAGCUGACGAUCAAUAAGUACCUGAAAUUACAGAGAAUUGUCAGAGGUGCCGGAAGUUUUUCCGGCGUAAACCCUCCAACGCUCAAGUCAGUUAUGGGGUUUACAGGAAAAACCAAAUAUGCCCCUUUUCAUAUGGCUUAAUAAACAUUGCUUUAAAACCAAAAGCUUUUUGAAUAAUUUGCAGAAAAAUAAAAUAGAGUAUCCAGAAAGGAUUUCUCCAUCAGAUCCAGAGAAAAAAGAGCCCCCCCUCUGGCGUGGUUUUCUCGGGGUUUUUAUGAACACCCUACACCCACGACCUUAGAUCGUGCCAAUAACCAUUAAUUGAUCAAAUUCGUGCCCUCAUUUUUCGGAGGAGCUUUGUGGUGGUUUAUUUUAAUUGAGUCUUUAUUCCUGGUCAUCACCUGGUCGAGGUGAUCUGCUCAAGCUCAUAGCACCUGAUCGAGGUGAUCUGCUCCACCUCAUAGCACCUGGUCGAGGUGAUCUGCUCCACCUCAUAGCACCUGGUCGAGGUGAUCUGCUCCACCUCAUAGCACCUGGUCGAGAUGAUCUGCUCCACCUCAUAGCACCUGGUCGAGGUGAUCUGCUCAAGCUCAUACCACAUGCUCAUCUGCUCAAGCUCACACCACCUGGUCAAGGUGACCUGCUCAACCAUUUGCUCACUUUCACUCGGAGGAGAUCAUGGUCACUCUAUUUAAUUCCUCAAACAGAGCAAAUAAUAUAAUUUUCAAAAAAUAGAGAAAUAGAAAAAAAAUAGAAGUACCUUUUGCUAUUCGUUCCAAGAAUCGCGGAGCAGGUAACAACUUAAGAGACUGAAUCACGACUAAAAAUAGAGAAGAAUAGAAGCAAGACUUGUUUUUAGAUUUCUACUGAAAAAGACAAUUAUUGAAAUAAAACUUGUCCACGACAAUAAACUGGCUAGCUAUUGAAAUGAUUUAAACAAUCCAUAUAUAAAGUAUUAAAUUAAGUAUGCAAAUGUCACAUGUAGCAAAACAACAUAUACAAUAUGAUGAAAUUUCAACAGCAAAAUUGGGUGUUAAAACCGUUAAAUAAAAUCCAUUUUUCCAUUAGAGAAAUCUAAAUUUUGAGAAUUUUGGUUUAGCUUGCUUUGGUCAACUUAGUCACNNNNNNNNNNNNNNNNNNNNNNNNNNNNNNNNNNNNNNNNNNNNNNNNNNNNNNNNNNNNNNNNNNNNNNNNNNNNNNNNNNNNNNNNNNNNNNNNNNNNUUAUUCCGUUUCUAUUGGGAAUGAUGAUACAAGCGGAAAGGUGUUAAAGCAUUGCUUAAAAUAUUUAUAGGGGCAAAGAGCAAUUGCAGCAGUUUAGCCAUGUAAAUAAGUAAGAACUUGACCAGUAUGUAAAGUUCACAAAGUAGCUAGAAGAACUCCAGAGAAGGCAUUAGUCGAAUGUAGCCACUAUAAAAAUUUCCACAAACAAAUUAAUUUAUAAAAAAGCAGUGGAUAAGGAGUUAAGCAUACAUUAAUUUGUUUUUAGAAGAUACAGCGAAAUUUCCAUAUUGGCUACUAUUCCACUAAUGGUUUCUUUCCACAAUUCCCAAUAUUAAGAUCUAUUGAAAACUAAGCAAACAUUAAAUUGCUUGUGGAAUUUACAUAAGUCAAUAUAACAGCAGUUGAACUGGAUGCAGUUUGGGUGGAGAAAAAUGGUUUCUGUUCCUAAUUCCCAUUAUUAUGUUCUAUUGAAAAUUAAACAUACAUUAAUUUGUUUCUGGAAAUUUACAUAAGUCAAUAUAAUAGUAGCUGAACUGGAUGCAGUUUGGGUGGAGAAGUAGUGAGCGCUGGUUUUGGUGGAGAUGUUGGCAUUAAAGAGGUACUAAAUAACUACAACUUUAAAUCAAAAGAAAGAGUUUGUGCUAAUAUUUGCCAUGCAUAACUUCAACUUUAAAUCAAACUAAUGCUUACAAAUGGCAUGCAUCCAUAUCCACCACGUCGCAUACUACAUCACUCUUAUAAAUCUUUCUAAUGGAGAAAGGAACACGACAUUAUUCGCAUUUUUGUCCCUUUCUUAAUCUACUAUAUUUUGCAAGGUGCUGGAUAUUUUUCUGUUGAAAGUCCUAUCAGAUCGAUUAGCGCCUUUAAAAUUAUGUUCUCACUAUUGUUGAUAUCAAUUAUCACGUUGCACACCUUAUCUUUGAUGGUGCCACGUGUUCUGAAAUCUUAUUGCACUAAUUAUCCUCUUCAAAUCUUGGUGCUAAUAAAAUCUUCUACAUAGUGUAAUUCAACAUCUCUCCUUCAUGUACCUCUAACUCUAAAGCUUCUUCAUCAUCCUCAUCCGCAACAUUAUUCAUCUCUGCUUAGCCAUAGCGUUUAUUUUCUCUCUUUCAAAUAUCAAAUAAUGGUUAAUAUUUUCUUCAGGAUUAUCUUUUCUUUCUUGCUUGUGAUGCUGCUGCUGCUGCUGCUCAUGAAUGAUAAAGUGGCGCUAGGGCAAGAUGGGGAUCCCGUGGGAUCAAUACAAGGAGGAGGAGGAAGAGAAAUGGUGCCUGCCUUGUUCAUUUUUGGAGAUUCACUUAUCGAUAAUGGCAACAAUAACAAUCUUCCUUCUUUUGCCAAAGCAAAUUAUUACCCCUAUGGUAUCGAUUUCAAUGGUGGCCCAACUGGCCGCUUUUCUAAUGGCCACACCAUGGUCGAUGAAAUUGCUAACUCUCUUUAUCUAUGCAUUUGAUUUAUAUUUUUAUAAUUUUUUUUCCUUUUCAAAAUCCUGAAGGUACAUGAAAAUUUAUAUACACCAUGAUUGCAUGCAAUGCAGGGUAUUUUAAUUGCUGAUCUGACGAAUUAUUAUGAUUACUUCUUUGCUAGCAAAAAAAAAAGAAGCAUAAAACAGAUGUCAUUUUUAGAUUUUUCUUCUUUGUAAAUUUGUGUCACACUCUUGAGCAUAGUUAGAAAUAUCUGUGAAGUGAGUUUCAUAGUCAUGGCUUCAAUGACACAUAUCCAAAUUCAUUACAAUUAAUUAAUUGAUUUCCUACUUCUAUCCCUUUUAAAAAAAAUUAACAAAAUAAAAGUACUUGUUUAGUUAUCUAUUUCGGGGGGGGGGGGGGGGGGGGGGGGGGGGAAUAUUGGCAUUUAUUGGUCUGGCCCCACCCCUAUAUGUCCCUUUGGGAGGGCUCGCACUGUCCCAUAAUAUUUAUUUCUAAACAAUCACAGUCAUUAUCUUAAAUCAAUAAAAAUAACAGAAAUUUUUUUGUUUUAUUUUUUACAUUUAUUAUAUCUACACCCACUUACACCUAACUCGUAUUAAUCCGCAAGUACGAUCUGUUUGGGGAUAAAUUCACCAUAUCUGGUAGGCGUGUCUUAUUAAUGGCUAAAAGCUUCCAUAUGCAUAACCUCUUUAAAUUGUGUCCGCUUUCAAAGAAAAUUUUCUUUUUUGUCCAUUAGCUUUUAUUUACUCUUCACAAAUAUUUUUAAUGUCAUACUAACCAAAUCUUGUAAAUUCAUCCAUUCAGCUGAACUACUGGGACUUCCUCUGAUUCCUGCAUACUCUGAAGCUUCCGGUGCACAAGUGCUUCACGGAGUCAACUAUGCUUCUGCCACUGCUGGAAUCCUCGACAUCACCGGAAGAAACUUCGUAAGGACUCAUAUAUCUAAUUCAAACGAACCAGGAUUCCCUUUUGAUCUGAAUUUUAAUGAGAGGAUUUUAUAUCUAACACGAGAUAUAUAUUUUUUGUAGGAAUGGGCAGCAAUGACGACCUAAACAAUUAUCUUAUGCCCAAUUACAAUACCAAAAAUCAAUACAAUGCUCAGCAAUAUGCUGAUCUUUUGGUUUCAGAAUACUCAAGACAACUCACAGUAAGAUUCAAUUUCACUAUAUUUACAUUUUUUACCAUAUGCAUGCAUUUUAGUUACUUUAUUUUUUUAGCUUGUAAACAUAUUUAUAUAACUUGUAUUAAGUAUUGAUUGAAAAUCUACAGACCCUUUACAAUUUGGGAGCAAGGAAAUUUGUGUUGGCCGGAUUAGGAAGAAUGGGAUGUAUUCCAAGAAUUUUGGCUCAAAAUCAGAUGGAUCGCUGUUCAGAAAAAGUGAAUCCAACUUGUUAUGCCUUUUAAUGCACAUGUGAAGACUAUGAUUAACAAUCUUAAUGCCAAUCUUCCUGGUGCAAGAUUCACCUUCAUUGACAUUGCCCGCAUGUUUGAAGAUCUCCUCACCAAUUAUAGAUCAUACGGUAUGCAAUUUUCCCACUAAACAUAUCGUAUUGUAGUUAGAUAUGAUGUGUGCUGUCUAGCCUAAAAUCUUUUAUUUUAAAAUGUGCGGACACUGACAAAAGAUAAUAAAGAUUUCGUCCUCGUAUUUUAAAAUCAAGGAACAAUUUACAGUGGCUGAACUAGGAUUUUGAUUUGACAAGCACGGCCUAGAGGUGGAAAUAACGGAGAAAUUAUCGUCUUGCUGUGCUACAAUAAAAGCAAGACAUUUUAAAAUUAAAUUUAAAUAAGUGCAUAAAAUAAGCAAAAUUUUACUUAAUAGAAUAAUGUUUAUGAUCACUUUUUUUUUUAUCCCAAAUAAUUCUACAGGAUUCAGUGUAUUAGAUCGAGGGUGCUGUGGCAUUGGACGAAACGGAGGCCAAAUUACAUGUCUUCCAUUCCAAACACCAUGUGCAAAUCGAGAACAAUACGUUUUCUAGGAUGCAUUUGACCCAACAGAAGCUGUGAACAUUAUGUUUGGAAGAAAAGCUUUCUAUGGUGACCAGAGCGUUGUUUAUCCCAUGAACAUCCAGCAGCUUGCCAGUCUUUAAACUUAGAAAUUAAAGGGACAUAUAUGUUAUUGUAAUGUUUCUUGCUUGCUUAAUUGCUUUGCAUAAUUGUUGGGAUUAUAUGCUUUUUAAAAGCAUAUUAAUUUAUUUUCUGAUUAAUAAAAUAUUUGAGAUAUUUUCAAUUGCAUAAAUAUUUUGAAUAAGGUCCGUUUAAUCAUAUUAUAUGUAUUUAUGUGAUCAUCAUAUGGAUUCACAGAAGAUAUAAAUACAAGUUAUCUUAUGAUUAAAUAAAUUAAGUUCGCAGUUGAUAAAUAGAGUUGGGCGCUCUAUUUAUGUUUAGACUGUAGUUAAUUGUUAUAAGUGAAUAUGAAAUAGUUCACUCAAAGCAAGGAUAAAUGGAUGAAAGUACUACACAUUUUUUUCACAAUGAGGUUGCCUUUUAUAGGCGUUACUUGAACAAACUUAACGAAAUAAUAGCAGCCAUUAUUCAGCAAAUACUGCAGCCACUUUCCAGUAACUAUAGCCUAAAGACUAGGUAAACACAAUCUUGCAAAUAACAUUACCAACAAACUUCCUAAAGACUAGGACCAUAAAAGCAACUUAUUGACACAAGGAAAUUCCAACAAUCCCUCCCUUAAACUAAAUGUUAUUAACAUUCAGUUUAAACAUUCUGCAGAAUCUUCCUCAAAUUGCAAUUUGCAAACUCCAAGUGACUUUCUCAGCUUCAAAAAACUAGCCAAUUUGAGGGGUUUAGUAAAGAUGUCAGCAACUUGGUCUUCACUCCUGCAAUAAACAAGAUCAAUGACUUCAUUUUUUGUCAAGUCUCACAAGAAAUGAUAUCUCACAUCUUUGUGCUUGCAUCUUUCAUGUAGAACCGGAUUCUUUGAAAGUUUAAUUGUUGACCUAUUAUCACAUAAGAUUUGUGUUGACUCUGGUUGCUUAAACUGAAGUUCAUGAAGAAUAUUUCUUAGCCAAAGUGCUUGACAUGCACAAGAAGCUGCUGCAACAAACUCAGCCUUAGUUGUUGACAAAGUAACUAUCGGUUGCUUCUUAGAUGACCAUGAAAUAGCUGCUGAACCAAACAUAAAUACAUAUCCAGAUGUGCUUCUUCUGUCAUCCAAAUCUCUAGCAUAAUCACUGUUUGUAAAGCCAUACAAAUCUGAUUUUUUUACCCUUUUUGUAGAACAACCCAAAUUCAGUAGUACCACGCAAGUAUCGAAGAAUUCUCUUUGCAGCUAAAAGAUGAUCCUCUCUUGGACGCUCCAUAUAUUUGCUGAUGGAACUAACUGCAUGCAUUAUAUCAGGUCGAGUUGCCAUUAAGUACAUCAAGCUUCCAACAAUCUGUUUGUAAAGGGUACUAUCAACUAUUCUUCCUGCAGGAUCCUUAACAAGCUUCAAUCCUUUUUCAAUUGGAGUAGUGACAGAGUUGCAGUUCCUCAUUUGAAAUCUUUCUAAGAUCUCUUCCAUAUAUUUCUUUUGACAAAUAAAUUUUCCAGCAUCAGAUUAUAUGACUUCUAAGCCAAGAAAAUAAUGCAGCAAACCAAGAUCAGUCAUAUCAAAUUCAAGCAUCAUGGAUUCCUUGAAUUUCUCAAACAUUACUCUGUCAUUUCUCGUGUAAAUCAAAUCAUCUACAUAUAAACAUACCAUAAGCAUUUUCCCAUCAUCUCCAAUUUUUGUGUACAGAGUAUGCUCAUAUGAGCAUUUUCGAAAACCUUCCUUCAAGAAAUAAGCAUCUAUAUGACUAUACCAAGCUCGGGGUGCUUGUUUUAUUCCAUAUAGAGCUUUUUUCAAUUUAUAGACUUUAUGCUCACUGCCUAAUUUCACAUAUCCAGGAGGUUGUUCGAUAAAUACCUCUUCUUGUAGCUCCCCAUGCAAGAAUGCUGAUUUCACGUCCAGUUGAAAAACAGGCCAUGAAUUUUGUGCUGCAAGAGCAAUAAUCAAUCUGACCGUUUCAAGUCUUGCAACGGGAGCAAAUACUUCUUUAUAAUCUACGCCGAACUCUUGCUUGUAGCCUUUGGGGACUAGGCGUGCCUUGUAUUUAUCAAUUUCACCAUUUUCCUUCAGUUUUGUCUUGUAAAACCACUUGACUCCUAUUGUCCUCUGCCCCAUUGGAAGUUCAGUCAACUCCCAAGUAUUAUUUUUUUCAAUGGAUACAAUUUCUUCGUCCAUGGCUUUUAGCCAUUCUUGUUCUUUGACAGCUUCUUUAAAAGUUGUAAGAUCACAUUCUAAAAACAAGGCAAAGUGUAUGAGUGGAUUCUCAAGAGUGUUAAAUCUUGUUACCUCAUAAUCUAACGUCCAUGCAGGCCUUCUUCUAUCACGUUGAGAACGUGAAUCUGUAGCUUCAACUUGUUCAUCAAGUUCAUUUGUUGUUGGUGGAGUUUUCUGCUGAGACUCUAUUUUGCGGCAGGUCAGGAGCAAAGACUGUUGAAGGCUGAAGUUACUGUGAAUUUUCUUCAAUUUCACCAUCGAAAUCUGCUAGAAUUUGCUGCCCAACAGAGCUGCAUCUCUACAUCCAUGUCUUCUCUUCAUCAAAAAUGACAUCACGACUAAUGACAAUUUUCUUGAUGAUGGGAUCAUAUAAUUUGUAGGCCUUUGAAUGAUCACUAGCACCAAGAAAAAUGCACUUUACACCUUUGUCAUCUAAUUUUCUUCCUUUCUCAUCUGGUAUGUGGACAUAUGCUAUACAUCCAAAUUCCCGAAAGUGAUCUACUGCCGGCUUACGUCCACUCCAUGCUUCUUCAGGAUUUAUAUUUUGAACAUCUAUUAUGGGGCUUCUGUUCAAAAUAUAAACACUUCAAACAACUGCUUCAGGUCAAAAAAUUUUGGGAAGACCACUCCUCUGCAAAAGGCUUCGUACCAUAUUAAGAAUUGUACGAUUUUUCCUCUCGCAUACACCAUUUUGCUGAGGUGUGUAGGCUGCUGUCAAUUGUCUUCUAAUUCCAUGAUUUUCACAGAAGCUUCCAAAUUCUUGAGAGUUGAACUCUCCACCACGAUCAGUACGCAAUAUUUUAAUUUGGCUGUAAGCUUCUCUUUCAACUAGUGCUUUAAACAUUUGAAAGGCUGUGAAAGCUUCCGAUUUUUCUUGCAAGAAAUAAACCCAGGUUUUUUGACUAAAAUCAUCAAUAAAUGAGAUAAAAUAUCGGUUACCUCCAUUUGAUGUUGGCUUGAUUGGCCCACAUAAGUUAGAAUGCACUAGCUCCAGCACUUUCUUUGCCCUCCAGGAUUUUCCUUUUGGAAAAUUAUCUCGAUGUUGCUUACUGAAAAUACACUCUUCGCAAAGCUGUGAAGGUUGCUCAAAUUGUGGAAGGCCUACCACCAUAUUUUUCUACUGCAAGGCCUUCAAUCCACCAAAACUAAGAUGCCUGUAAUGAAAGUGCCAUAACCAUGCCGUAUCUUUGAAAUUUGCAACAAAACAUGAGUGUGCAGUAUGGUGAAGAUACAAUGGAAACAUUCUAUUUGCCGUCAUUUUCACUUGAGCAAUUAAGCCUAAUUUUUCAUCGUGGAUUCGGAAAACUCCUUCCUUGAUAGAGAUCUCAUACCCCUUUUCUUGUAACUGGCCAACACUGAAAAGGUUAGUUUUCAGUUCAGGAACGAAUAGAACAUUUGAGAAAGAAUGAGAACUUUCCUUGGUUUGGAUUGCAACCUUUCCUUUCCCCAUGACAGAAACUGUGGAGUCAUCACCAAAUUUUACAGUAUUUCGAAAAGUUUCAUCCAAGUCAGAAAAAGCAGAUUUAUCCCCACACAUAUGAUUGUUGCAACCGGUAUCUAAGUACCAUAGAUUUUGGUGACCUUCCUCCUUUGUAUGACAUGCCAUAAGAAGGGAAAUUUCUUCUUCCUCAUUUUCUGCAAAGUUAGAUUUCUCGCCACGAUUCUUAUUUAAAUUAGUACGGCACUCGGAGCAGUAAUGAUCGUACUUCUGACAACAGAAGCAUUUAACAUCCGAUUUGUCUUUAGACUUUGGUUUAUGUCCUGUCGAAUUCUGACCAUCAUAAUCCUUUCCUUUUCCUUGAGAAUCACCAACCUUUUCUUCUAAUCUGUUCUGCCCAUUCUUGCCUUUCCAGCCUCCUUUACCCCCUCCAGUUGGUUUGAGAUUUGCUGCUGCCUGUAAUGCAUGUUCUUCCUUAUCCUGUCGGAUUACUUUCUGCUCAUGGACUAGUAAAGUGCUUUCCAAUUCAUCAAUCGAAAGUGUGUCAAUAUCCCUUGAUUCCUCAAUCGCACAAACAAUAUAGUUAAAUUUUGCCGUUAAAGAUCGAAGAAUCUUCUCAAUUAUGAUAACAUCCUCGAGCUGUUCGCCAUGAAUUCAUCUCUUAUUUGCGAUUGCCAUUGUCCUUGCAAAGUAUGCUGAGACCGACUCUCCCAUCUUCAUUCGUAGAGAUUCAAAUUCAACUCGAAGUGUCUGGAGGUGUACUUGCUUCGCCCUUGCUGUCCCUUGGUACUUCUUUUUCAAGGAAUCCCAAAUUUGUUUGGAGGAGUCUUUGUUAAGAAUUGUUUCCAAGAUUGAGCAAUCAAUAGCUUGGAACAAGUAAUUCUUUGCCUUGAGAUCCUUUAAUCGUUUCCCUUCAAGCACUAUUUUCUGAGCAUCCGUCAAAACUACACCGGCUGGUGGUUCAGUUAUUCUAGUUGAAACAACCUGCCAAUACUCCUUGGACCUUAAGAAACUCUCCAUCAACAUGCUCCAAUGGUCAUAGUGACCAUCAAAGCGGGGAAUUGCAGGUUGAACAAAAUUCUCAGAAGCCAUGAAUUUCUGCUGCUGCAACACGAGUGAAAAAAGAGCCAAGUAAGCUGUUGUUACUAACUCUGUCAAUCCCACUUUUCUAAUUCAAGCUCUGAUACCACUGUUAUAAGUGAAUAUGAAAUAGUUCACUCAAAGCAAGGAUACAUGGAUGAAAGUACUACACAUUUUAUUCACAAUGAGGUUGCCUUUUAUAGGCGUUACAUGAACAAACUUAACGAAAUAAUAGCAUCCAUUAUUCAACAAAAUAUUACAGCCACUUUCCAGUAACUAUAGCCUAAAGACUAGGUAAACACAAUCUUGCAAAUAACAUUACCAACAAACUUUCUAAAGACUAGGACCAUAAAAGCAACUUAUUGACACAAGGAAAUUCCAACAAUAAUUCAUUGAAUGAUUUGUCUUAAUUAUAUAUCAAUUUACUAAUGUAAUUUGACUACAUUGAGCUGGAUAACAUAUGAGAUUUAAUUAACCUUGAAAUGACUGUUAGACUUAUUAAAUCUCAUAGGCAUUGAUUUUACUGUAAUCUUAAUCUUGAGUUAGUUAUGAUUUCAUAAUUGUAAUUGUUAUUCCAUUUGAGUUACCAAUGGGCACGACACACAAUUAUGGUCAAGAUUACCCGGUAUCUUGGUGGGAGCAAUUAUGAGUAUUGGAGUUAUAGAUUAACAAUAUAGAAUUUGUAUGACGCAUCUCUUGAUGGGUUUUUGGCACUUAAUCAUAAAAUUCUCUGGCCAGAGUGUGUCAACAUAUUUAGUAUGUUGAAAAUGAUCAUUAGAGAAAACCAGUAAGUAUGAAAGAACAAGAUGUAAUUAAAUUGAUUGGACAGUUGAGAUAUCAAUUUAAUUAACGAUGUGGUACAAAGGAUUGAGUAGUAAAGAAAUCAGUGUGGCUUGGGACGAAUUAUUAUUCGAACAUACAAUUAUGGAGGUCAGUUCCAAUCUUAUAGUGGAGUAGAGUUGGAAUUAAAUAAUUAGGCUUAUUUAAUUACAGGCUUAAUUUUUGUAGCCACUAUUGUAUAUUCUCAAAUGAUCCCUGGGUUAGCUCAUUUAAUUGACUGCAUCGCUACUGGAUUAAUAAGUAAGAUAACUAACUAUUUAGGUUAAAAGCCUAAAUAUAUUAUUUAGUGGGAGACUCCAUUAAUAUGCUUGAGUGUAAGGGGCCUUAUGUUAUUUUACAAGGUGGACCCCUAUAACACAUGAACAAGUAACGUGACUUUUGUUUUAAUUAUUUUUUAAUUUAAAUAAAAUGGGAUUUAAUAGAAUUAAUAAAUAAAGAAAUAUUGAGCCUAGGGUUUCCACUAAAUAGAGAUAUAAAAAGGCUUAUUUUCUCAACAAAAAAAAAAUAGACAGAGGUCACAUUAUACAAAUAAGAGAAAAUGAUUUUCUCUCUAAUUUUGAGAGAAAAAUUUUCUCGUGCUAGUUGCUUUAGUAGUGAUAAAGGCGCCCACACGUCAAGUGUAGAUCAAACCUGAGUUAUAGCCUGAAAGAUUAUUUGGUGGCGGAUCGUGAUCUAACAGGAGUAGUGGGGACGGAUCGUGGUCUGGGAGCCUAAAUCACUUUAGUGGAAAAAGAAAAGAUUGUUCAUCUUCUCAAAUUUUCAAGGUACGAUUUCUAGAUUACAAAUUCUUAUAUAUUGUAUGAGAUCGAUCCUAAAAGUUUUUUUUAAAAAAAAACUGCUUUUUUCCACAACAAUAAUUAGCCACCGGUGUCUCGUCUGUCCAUGUGAGUUUUUACUUGUUUAAUUUGCUUGUGGGAAGCUUAUGUAAUCAAAGAACAAGUUGUGAUUGUGUUUUGUUGCGUUGCUAGUGGUUCAGUAAUUGGGACUACUUUGAUUAUGUUUUGGUAAUAGAUUUUACUAGUUUACUAGUGUUUCAGUAGGAUUUUUCUUUUUUUAAAUUAUUAACUUAUGCAUCUAUUGAAAUCUGAACUCAAAACUUAAGCCCCAAAGAAAUUGCUUGUUACCGUUGGAAUUAGACUUGACUUUCGUAGUUUAUUAAUCAACUUGCUUACUAGGUAGCCUUGCCGUAUGAUAUGGUUUGCUAUCUUAUGGGUAGUGAUGUUUCCCUUGCAAUACCCCUCGCAUCUGUGUAAGGACAUCCAUCUAAUUUUGUUGAUAUUUUUGGAAGUUAAACUUUCAUCCUUAAUUUGAAUGAUUGAAAGAUAAUAUAUAAUUUUAGCCUCGGUUGAUUCAAAAACGGUAGAUUUAAAAGAGAGAUUGAUUCAAAAAGAUUAAAUUAAACGUUCAAAAUAAUUUAUAAAAAAUGCAAGAUAUCCGCAAACUGUCUAAAAUACUAUCCUUUAAUCAAUAAUAUUUUAAAUAAGGAGAUUAUGGGUGGACCAAAAAUCCAUGUACCAAGCCCAAGCAAACGCGCAGAUUUAACAACCCGUUUGGAGCAGCGGCGUUACCAAAUUAUUUAUAGGUUUGGGUUCGGUUACAAAAACUCAACCACAAAAAUAAAUUUAUGUUCACUUAAAUUUCUAUAAAAAUCUUCUAAAACCCCUUUAUAAUUGUCUCCUUCUUUAAAAUUACCGUAUAGGACAAAAUUAUAUCUCAUUAAACCCACCGUAAACAAUUCUUUCACCGACAAUUUUUCUCCUGUACGUAUGUACUUCUGUUAUCUUAGAGUUUAUACGAAAAUUAUUGAAACCUCAAAAUACAACUACAGAAAAAUCUCAAAAGCCGGUAACAACCCUGUUAAAAAUCAAAAUAAUGAUCAUGUUAGAAGACCAUUCCCUGUCAAAUUCCAUUGAAAAUUGAGUGCAUAUAUGACUUAGGCAAAAUAGAGAAAAAAAAAUCAGUUUGAGCUUUAAAAUUGUUGUAAACUGGGUAGUCAAAGGAGUGCCAAUAGUCCAACUCAGUUCAUAUUCAUUUAAAUCUGAGAUGAAGAAAUAAACACCACAAAAUAAACUUAAAUGUUGGAAACUAAUUCUAACCCAACCUGAAUAGAUUUUUAUUGGAAUUUUUUUGGUUUAAGUUACUCAAUAGUUUUAGAGUGGAGCUUCUAACAUCCCAUUAAAACUCAUAAGAAACACUACUUAUUCAUUUUUAUAUCUCUUUUUUUAUGAAAUUACAAAAAAGUCCAUAGAAUUACAAUAGAGUUUUAAUUAAACUUCACUAUCAUUUUAGACAUACUUUUUCAUAAUAAAAUUAUUAUUAUUAAGUAAUUUAUUUCCUCAUUAUCACAAAAUUAUUUUUGACUUUAUCAAACAAAUAAGGUUAAAAAAAUAGUUAGGGGUUUAUGAUUUAUAAAGACAUUUUAGUUUAAUUAAAUUCUUAUUUUUUUCUUUUGGUAAUUUCGAAGAAUAUUAAAGGGGUGUGAAAAACAGUACUCAUAAUUGAAUUAGAUCAAAACUUUCUCAACCCAAAUACGUUUGGAUUUGAUUGGGUUAAUCCCAACAUUCACUCACCCCUAAAAUGGCUUUAUAUAUAGUCAUUAUUACGAAAAAUAUAAUCAUAGCGUCAACUCUUAAGUAAACUUUUUGGUUGAGAGAGGCGUAGAUCACUAAACAUGUAUUAGUAGUCAAAAUUAGAAGAGGAACUUUAUCUAGAUUACUACAUUUACCAAAUAAUAUUAUAAAAUGUAAAAGUUUUAAUGGGGUGUAUUAAACGGGGUGUACCCCAUCACUAUCUUAAGAAUGGUGAUUUUGAUCCCUUAUUAUAUCUCACAAGCCCCCCAUUUUUCAGUUAAUUCCAUUAAAAAUUUUAAACAAAUCUUUAUCUCUCAAUAUACCUUACCUAAUCUCUAAUUUACCUUUAUUUUAAUUUUUUUUCAUACACCCAUUGUAUAAAUUUUAUAAAAUCAUUUCUUAAAAAAAAAUCUCAUAAUCAUUGCAAUUUCUCAACUUUUUUUUUAAGGUUUUAUCCACCACUUAAGAUUUGAUAGUUCCACCAAGAAUUGGAGCAAAGAACCAUGCCGAGUCGGCCCUGAAUAACCUUAGUAUCGUGCUAAGCCUAUCAAGCCAAAGUUGAGUGAAGGAAUACAAGAAUUUGGCCGAGGGGUUUGACGUGAUAAAGAUAGAGAUUUUUUAUUAUUAUAAUUGAUUUGGAGCUAAAAAGGGGAUUCUUGAUUUCCUUUUGUGUGCAUCCCAAUCUUGUAUUCAAGUUUAUCUGUUCAUGGACCAGAAUGCAUUGCAUUUGGAAAGUGUUUGCAAUUGUACAGUGAUAUUACUUGGACAGUAAUUUGGCGUUGCAAUGCAUUUACAGAACGAAUGAAAAUUUGGAAUCGCGAUGAAAAAUGUUGUCAGGUAUCUAUCUGAGAAUGAAAGCACUCGUUGUCAGUCUCUAUGAGAUUGCAGUAUAAAAUUUUACAUUGUUCUUCAAUAUUUUGAAUAGAAUGCCUUACUUUGAAUGGAAUGGCUCAGUUUAAAAAGUUAGAAGAAAUUAGAGUUUAAGAAAUUAGAUUCGCUUAAUUAGUUAUUAAUAGAAAUUUUUAUGCCGGUGCACUUAAAAAUUAUUUAUUAUUUUAAGUUAUUUCACAUGAGGAUAAAAUAGGUAUUAACAUAAAAGUUAUUAGUGUGGGUUGAUAAGAUAUAAUGAGAGAUUUAAACAUCACCACUCUACUCAUGGAGAAGCUCCAAAAACGAUCUCAUUGGUCGAAAAAGGCCAGACCCAUUGAACGAGGACCCUUAAAAUUUGAUCCUAGCUUGACCCAUACGAUAGGUUGAAUAGGUUAGUCCUUUACACAAUCAAAAUAAACUUGUGAGUAGGGGUGGGAAAAUAACCCAAUCUGAUUCAACCAAAAAACUUGAGUUCAGAUCGGAUGUAGAUCAAUUUCUCAAUCCAAUCAGGUAGGAAUUUAUCCAAAUCGAUCCGAAAAUACACACAAUUAAAUAAUAUUAUUUGAAAUUUUUUAUCCAUUCCAAAUAUAAUUCGGAUUCAAUUAUAAGUCUGGAUUACUUUUUUCCUAACUCGAUUAACCGGAACUCGAACCCGAUCCGAAUAUGAAUUUGCCGACCCCUACUUAUUAUCGUUUACACAUUACAUUUGUGACUAUCAUUUUCAAACUAAAAUUUUCUCUUGAUGCGAAUAAGAAAAAAAAAACAUAGAGUAAAUUUCGUUUAAAAAAUGAGGCACCAUAGAUGGACCGUACAUAUGGUACAGCUAGCUGAAAUGGAAGUAGCCUUGUGAGAGCUGCCUAUUUUGGAUUCAGGAUGAAAUAUUUAAGAAGCAAGCAAGUAAAUAAAUCAAGAAAAUAAUAUUCGGCCACCCUCAUUCCAGAGGGAAGCCAAAAACGACAUACUUAUGUGCCGUUUUAAAGUUUUAGAUUUGAAAAUUAAAAAUAAAUUUUACCAUUAAAAAAUAAUAAAAGCUAAUCAAAAGAAAUUAAAAAAUCUAAAUUCUUAUCCCUCCCCUCGCUCACCCCCUCUCUUUGACUCACCCCGCUCUGUCCCUCUCACUCUCACCCACGAAGCUCGUUCCCCUCUCACUCACCCACAAGCUCGCUGUCAAUAUUUUUCUCAGAUCUCAGUUAACGCAUCAUCAAAACCGCAACCAUGACGCUAGGCUGAGGAGGAUCCAGUGUCGUGGGUCAGUUUCUUGUCUGAUCUUGCCAUUUUUUGUUCAAUCUAUUUAUGCCCUGGAUUGAUUUAUUCUCUUUGUUUUGUUGUAUUUCUUGUUCUGGCAAAAUCUAUUUGUCUAAGUCACAUACAGGUCGUAGCCGUUGCUUUUAUUAUUUUAUAAUUUUUUUGGGUGGUUUUGUGUAGUCUUAUGAACUUUCUUUUUGGCAUAAAUGCAUCUGGGUUGCUACGUGCCUACGUUUGAUUGUUAAUUAGACCUGAUCCGUAAUUCUAUGCGUUUUUUGCAUUUUUGAUUGCGAAAUUAAGUUAAUUUAGUUUAAUAUGAUUACAUUAUUGUCACCUAAAAUUAGUAUAUUUAAUCAGUUAAAGAAAUUCUUUUGACACGGACUUUAUGAAACCUUGUAUGUGAUACUUUUCUUAGCAAAGUACUUGGAUUUUGGAUUUUUUUUAUUUAUAUUUUAAAAUUACUAGAAAUAAGUUAUUUGAAGUGUGAUACUUUGUGAAAUGUUAAAGCUUACGGUUUGGUUGUAAUUCUGUUUUUGCUUAUAUAUGUUUACGUCUGUUGGCAUUCUUUUUUUUUUGGUAUUUGAAGUUUGCAUAUAUGGUGUGUAUUAAGAUUUUCAAGUGGUUCUUCAAACAUAUUCUGGGUAGUUUGAUAUAUCACAUGUUUCUGUGAAUUCUUUAGUUGAGGCAAUUGUCUUUGCUCUUAGCUGCAUUAUUAAGUUCUUUACCACAUAGAAUUCCCUAAUUUUCUUCUGCUAAUCCAGUAAUUGCAGCUUCAUUGUAAGGUUCUUCAUUUUCUAUAAAGCAUAUAUUGCUUCAUCAACCCUCCUCUAAAUAUGUUGCAAAUAUGUAUUUGAUUCAUUCCAAUCUUACAGAUCAUUGUUGGAUGCCGAAUCAGCAUACAAUGCUUACAAUUGUGAGAGAAAAAUGAACAACCAAUUGCCCGGUUCAGUUACGCUUUAAGCUAGGAAGAUUGACGUAGAAACAUUUGUUUAAGUGUAAUUACCUAGGUAGGUGAAAAAGGUCCAAAAUCGUCAAGCACACUGUCAACUAAGGCUGGUCGGCGACGUGAACGGCGUGAUAGCGAUGUCGGUGAUGGGCUGGUCGGCGAUGGGCGUGGCGUGACAACAAGUUUCGUGGGUGAGUAACAGCCUGAGAGAAAUAGCUCGCAAGUGGGUGAGUGAGAGAGGCAGAUCGGGUGAGUGAGAGAGACAGAGCUGGUGAGUGAGAGGGAAGGUGAAUGAGAGAGAGACAGAGCAAGCGAGUGAGAGGGACGGGUAAGAAUUUUGGAUUUUUCAAAUUCUUUAGAUUUAAUUUUAAUAUUUUUCAAUGGUAAAAUCUAUUUUUAAUUUUCAAAUUUAAAACUUCGAAACGGCAGAGGAAGCAUGCGUUUCUGGCUUCGUUAUGGUCUCGUGGUGGCCGAAUAUCAUUGCCCAGUAAAUCAUGAUUCUUCGAGAGACCGAGCAACCGCUUGUGAAAACCCUUAGACUAAGUCCUAACAACCCUUAGACUAAGUCCAGCACUUACCAUACUGUGUCCUAUAUAAUUGAAACGUAAAUAGAUUAUUGACAGCAAAACAAAAUAAUAACUUAAUAUAAUGACGUGUAACAAUGUACAUUUUUUAUUUUUUAUUUUUGUCAAUUAUGCGUUAGUGUUUGAUGCCCUUGUUUCAAAAAUAAAUAAAAAUUGAUGCACAUGUACCGCAAUGUCAGUUCUGAGGGAGCUGUGACGAGUAAUGAUUAAACUAUUAAUUAUUAAAUAUAGCAAGUAAAUUUUGAUGCCAUCAUUUUAAAAAAUUAAUAAAAAAAUAAACAAAUUGAUAUUCAUGUGCAUGUCUAAUGCUUUAUUUAUAUAAGAUUAAAAUUCUCUUUUCAUCUGGGUUUUUAUUUGAGCAAAUACAAUUAUUGGUAGUUAACAUAUAGAAGCACAAUUAAAAAAUAUAUCUUGACCGUGCUCACGUACACGUUGAAAGAAUUAAAGAAAAGGAGCCCUCUAAAUUCUGUUUGUUUGAUAAGAAAAUGAAUAGAAAAUUUUAUUGAUUCAAAGAGAAAAUUUGUUCGCUGGAUUUUUAUUUGUAAGUCUUACUAAUGAAUUGAGAGUACAUUGAUAAAUAUAGCUGUGUGUGGAAACUUCUACUGCAACAAACUCGUGUCCACAUUUCCAGCGCGCUAACUAUAACAACCUACUGACUAAGUUUGGAAGGAAAUAACAACUUGUUUAACUGUUUUACAACUUGGCUGCUGACUCAUCAUUACACUGAAAACCCCAGCUGACUUCAACUGCUGACUUAGCAUUUAUUCUUAACAGAAAGAUAAUGAUAAAAAGUUGCUUCAGAAUUCGUGGGCACGCACGCACGCUACUUGUAGAACUCCAUAACCCAUAAGUUGUAAAAAAAGCAUACAAAUCUGAUGCCACUAAAUCCAGCUUCAGUAGCCAAGGUCGUGAAUUCAUGCUUUGUUCGCUCCUUUCCUCCCGGAUAUUGAGUCAUCACCAGCACAUCAGCUAGGGAAUUUAUUUUUGAAUGAGUGCUAGUCUCAGGCAGUUCUGGAAGUACUGACUCCACAACAAUUACCUUCCCUCCUUCGGGAAUACUUUUGUAGCAAUUCUUCAAUAACUUCAAGCAAUGUUCAUCGCUCCAAUCGUGCAGUAUCCACUACAAAAUUUGAAAUAUUAUGAAAUUUGUUCAGGGAUCGAACACCUAAUACCUGCAAAUUAAAUUCAAAUGAAACUUACCUUGAUCAAAAUGGCGUCGCCAUUUGGAACACUUUGAAACAUGUCACCCCCUACAUGCUUAACACCUGUACUACAUACAAUUUAGUUUCCGCUGUUAGGAUCUAGCGGUAUGGGCAGAGAAUUCAUAAGAUAACUGAUAUUCGGGAAAAGAAUUUAGAUAAAAUUCUGACAAAAACAACAAUAAAUCAACCCUGAUUUUUUCACUAAAUUGCAAUAUAUGGUAAAUCGAGUCUGUUUUGAUGUUUUUUGUCAGUUUUUUCUUGUUGCAACAUUUUGUGCUUUUACCCUUUUUUUCCAAAUGAUAAUGUAUAUUUCUUCACAACAAUGACAUUAAAAAAAAAAAAAAAGAGAUUGGAAUCAAUUUUCUAAUUAACUUCCUACUUUCUCCAGGAUUUAUAUUGGGAUGAUUAAUUAAAGAAAGCUACUUAAAAGCCACUUGACCAAGUCCCUAACAUUAUUAUAAAGAUAAUUGAUAGUUCAUACCAGGAUACUCAGGGGAAUGCUGUAUAACGUGAGGCAAGUCGAAAUUGAUGCCCUUAAUGUGGGGGUACUUGGAAGUAAUUGCUUUAAGGGUAUUGCCAAGGGAACCGCCAACAUCAACCAAUUGCUUUAUGUGCUCGAAACCCUUGUAAGCCUCAAGGAUUUUCUGAAGGACCAAAGUGGUAUGGUUGAACAUCGCUGUGCUGAAAACUUCAUUGAACCUGGGGUCCAAUCCUAGGUACUCGAAAGCGUUCGUUCCGUGGACUCGGUCAAAUGGAACUCCUCCUUCAAUAAUAGUUUCUUUCAGUUGGGACCUACAUGACCAGUUAAUCAAUCAUCAUUUUGCGUUUGGCCUAACUUUUUUAGAUACAAUGGUUAGUGGUUGAUAAAAACAAAAAUAAUAAAGGGAUAUAUCUAUAUUAUAUAUAUGACGAUGUAUACGUUUCAUAAAAUCCCUUAACAGAUAAGAUGAGUAGAGGAUUCAUUGCCAUUAAAAAUUUUAUGUUAUAUCUUAACUCAUAACUGUCACAUACAUCUUUAUGAAAACGAGAAAAAAAAUGGAAAUCAGGGUAAUAUUAUCAUACGGGUGGGUUGCUAAAUUUUAGCAACGUCACAAAUUAGGAGAUAUGUAGUUUGUAGGACUUUUACAUAUAGCUAGGUCCUGCUGUUAUUUUUUUUUCCUUAAAAGAUUUUAUUUCUAAUUCUCUCCAGGCAAGUGAUCAUACCACCCCAAGUGAAUCUUUUAAUUCAGCGAAAUUCUACGGACGAAGUUAAGAAAUUUUUGUUCUUCCAGGAUUUCUGUCAGAACUGAAGAAACUACUCAAUUAAUGCUUUCAAUAGAACAAAAUACAUUGUCUUUUUCAUAUAUGUUACACUCAUGUCCUCUAUAAUUAAAAGACAAAAAUACCUCGGAAAGAAAACAUAUUUCCUCAUAUCUUCUGUAGCUGCAAGUAAUUAAAACACCACCAACAAUAGUUUACUCGUUCUUGAAUUGAUAUGACUAGAAGUAUAUUUAAUAAUGAUUUAUAAGUUUGACAGUGAACCUUCUACAUUUUAUCGCUCACUUAUAUGAACACGUUUGUUUUUCUUUUUCGAUGACCUGAGUUUAGAAAUAAGUUGAGUAUGAAGUCGAUUAUGAUUUAAGACUUGGGAGAAAUGCAUGAUUGGAUCUGAAGGCGUAGAAAGAGAAUUGUAUUAUAAACCCAUGUAUUUUUACCCUAAUUAACUUAAAAAAAGAAAAAUUCAGAGGAUUAAAAUGAUAGAGUGGACAAACCAGCUGUCGAGAAAGGCCUCGUCCUGAAUUAAGGCCAAUACAGGGCCUAAUGAGACACCAUCUUGAUUAGGCACAAAGUAUUUGGAAACAUCAUUCAAACCGUAUAGCCUGUGAGAACCAUCUACAUCAUCAAGUGAGCAUUCAACAAUACCAUAGCUAGCCAGAAGCCCGAGUAUCCGGUCCAGCAUCGUGGGUGCGUCUUUGUUCUUGGUGGCGGGCAACUGAGCGGCAAUCUCUGAAGCUGAGAGCUUUGCUCCAGGACCAGCUUUGGCUAUGAUCUCCAAAAGUCCCAGCUUAAUUACUGCUUUCAUGGUCAUGUGGAGCACUGAACCCGUCAUCACUUCACAGGCAUAUGCAAAGUUUUCGUCUCUCGCUUCAUUAGCCAUAUUUUCUUGAAUUUCCUUAUCUGUUUUCCUCAGAAACAAUGCAUUUAUAGUGGAGUGAAGAGUUACUGUGUGUCCAAGAUUUUAGGUUGUAAAAUCUGACCCGGAAGUUUUCGAUAGUUCAAGUUAGACUAAAUGACAGAAAUUAAAUUAUGAUAAAACUUUUUCAAAGAUAAAAGUAUGGAAGCUUGGCAACUCUAAAAAAAUUAUAUUAUUAGGGAUAAAAACUUUAUUUAAUUUGCAUAAAUUGAAAUGACAUAUUGCAUGAUUCUACAUGUCUCAUAUUAUUUCUUUUAUUUUGUCGACUUUAAAAAAUCUGAACGGCCAACCUCUUCGAAAAUGUAUUCAAUAGUUUUUUAUAGCGAUGUAUUGUUCAAUAGUUUUUUAUAGCGAUGUAUUGGAAGUAAUUUAAAAGAUCAAACAUUUCAAAUGAGAUCCUAUUAUCAAACAAGAGGAAUUCUAAAAUAUAUCGGAGGUAUUAUGUCAGUUACACAAUAAGUCAAUAAUAUUAUGGAAUGUGUGCAUUUAUUUGAAAAAUUACCAUGCAAGUGGUAGUUAUAUUAAAUCCAAUUACACACGUCACAUAUACAUUGAUUAGUUGUAUUACCCUGAUUUAUUCUAAACUUUAUCGUCAAACAGAGAGCUUUUAGUUGAAAUGAGGAACUAUAAUUAUUUCCUGACAUAAGUUUUUCCUUUGAUUAUAAUAUAUUAACAUUUCAUGUGAGGAAAUAUUAGUUUAACAUUUUUUUUCCUAUUAUAACAUGUUCUAAAAAAGGAUUAUAAUUCUUAAUUAGUUUUUUUUCUCAUCUAGUCUUUUUUGCCAUGCAAAAUUGGAUUGGAUUAAUUAUUAGAAUAAGACUGAAUUAGAUUACUUGGAUAAAGUCGGAUUAUAUUAUACUGUCUUAUGUUUGGUGUAGUACGAGAUUGAACUAUGUUAAAUUAUAUUUCAAUGAUAUAAAUAGCAUUUAAGUUGAUAUUUGAAUAUGAACAUCAAUUAUUCAUGAAAUUUUAUAACAAUAAGGAAACAAAUUUAAAAAGCAAUUAAUUAAAAAAUUAAGUAUAUUGUAAAUAAGUUAUUAGGUAGUCAUAAUAUAAUCAACAAAUGAAAAAGAAAUAAAAAUUUUAAAUAUUUAAUUAAUUUUUAUCAAAUAUUUAAAAAAAUUAUAUAAAAUCAAUUAAUUCUGGUAUUUUUAAUUUUCAUGAUUAUUUUUUAAAUUAUAUUAGUGAUUAUUAAAUUUUAUACAAUCACUAAUGCAAUAAGUUAUUAAAUGGUUAAUUUAUAAAUUAUUAAAUAUACAAGUAAUGAAAAUUUAAUCUCAAGAGUUAUUAGAAGUAAAAUUGUCAAUUUAAUUAGAUCAUAUAUAAUAAAUAAAAAUCUUAAGUAAAUCAAAUAAAAAUCUUAAGUAAAUCAUAAAUAAAAAUUAAUUGAUUAAUUAAUAUUAACAGAUAAUUUUUCUUUAAUUUUAUCCAACUAAACAAAUAUGUAAAUUAGGAUUACUAAUCCGAUGAUUUUAGGAUUAAAUUCAAAUUUAGUCUCCUUUAAUUCAAUUCAAAUAAAUUUAUCAAAUAUAAAAUAAAUAUUUAAUUUUAGAAUUAGUGCAAUUCAAUACUUAAUCCUACAUCCAAACAUGGUCUCAGUUGUCAUAAAGGUAACUUAGAAAGAGUCGUAACCGAAAACAUUUAUAAAGCCAUUUUUUCUUUUAAUUUUCAGGUUCAUAUAUAUAUAUAUAUAUAUAUAUAUAUAUAAUCUUUCUGCCAAUGAAGCGCCUGCCAAUCAGAGAAGUUAAUUUUUUAAUAUAUUUUUCGACGCCGGCCCCGCCCCUGAUCUUAUAGCUUUGACUCCAGAUGAAUGAGGCUUUUCAUUCAUGUUAUUCUUUGAAAGAUCGUGAUUCCAAAGGCUGCUGACAAAAGAAGAUUCUUGAGGCUGCCAAUCAUGGCCAUCGCUGCAUAAAUAUAUAUAUAUUAAAUCAAACAGGAGUGCGGUUACUUUAUACGUACAACUUGGGUUCUUGCCUUGCUGCCGUCAUGGAGAAUUAAUGCCACUGGUCAACGGUGAAUCAAUGGCCAUCGGGCACCAAAUUCAUGACCAAUCAAUGGCCAACAAGCACCAAAUUAAUGCCAAGCACACCAACAACCACCGAUUAAAUGGCAAGUUUAGUGUUUUAAAGUUUAGAAUAUGGAGAAGGACUUGCUACUGUAUCCAGGUAUUAAAUCAUCAAAAACCAAUUUGGUUUGGACUCUUCAAUUUCAAUUUGACUUCUACACCAACACCACACAACAACUCAACAACCGAAUCACUCGUCCUAAUAGCAUAGCAAUCCAGUCGUCGGUUGCCCGCACGUGAGAGACUAUUUUCUUAUUCGUGCUCGGAAUUGUUGAAUUAAUUUUACAAUUCUCUUGUACCAAUUUUCAUCAUAUAUGCUCCCUCAAGAAGUGAAGAUCGAUGUCGGAAUCACUUUAAUUUAGUUUCAAUUACAUGAUGUUUGGGAUCUUCUUAUACCAAUUUCGGUCUACAAUUGCCUCAAGUAUCUAUGUCCGUCAAAUCUUAUUUGUAUUAAAGCAACCGCUUAAACCGUUAACCUGUUUGAUUUAAAAAACAAAUAUUUGGAGCUGUUAGAUUGAACUCGUGUAAAUUAGGAUUACUAAUCCGAUAAUUUUAAAAUUAAAUUCAAAUUUAGUUUCCUUUAAUUCAAUUCAAGUAAAUUUAUUAAAUAUGAAAUAAAUAUUUAAUCUUAAAAUUAAUCCAAUUGGAUACUUAAUCCUGACAUCCAGACAAGGCCUUAUUUGCCUUAAAGGCAACUUAAAAAGAGGUGUGACCAAAAACGUUUAUAAAGCCAUUUUGUUUUUCGGGUUCAUAUAUAUAUAUAUAUAUAUAUAUAUAUAAUCUUUAUGCCAAUGAAGCGCCCAUCAAUCAGCGAAGUUAAUUUUUUUUUAAUUUCUUUUUCGACUGUGAUUCCGGAGGCUGCUGUCAAGACAAGAUUCCAGAGGAUGCUGAUAAGACAAAUUCAAAUUGACCUUUUUAAUAAUUAUUAUCUUUUCUAAGGUUUAAAAUUUUAUGUGUAACGUACAGCUAAUGUGAUGUAAGUUUUACCUGAUGUAUGAGUUGAUGAACCAUCAUGGUGAAAUCAAAAUACAAAAAUAAUAGAGGUCAAUAACGGCAUUCAAAAGAAAAGAAAAAUUAAAACACAAAGAAAAUAAGGCCGUUGGAUUCGUUUUUUCAAUUUUUUUUCUGAAUAUUAAUACGUUACAAUGAAAGAACUUGCUAAUAUUUUCCAUAUUGAUCAGGAUAAAAAGAUUGUUGAUACAAUCAUACGUCAAUUUUGUAAUAUUAUAGUACAAUUCAAAAGUUUUAUUUUAUUUUAAAAUAUAUUUAUCCUACAUAUUUAUAAAAGAUAUUGUAAAAGAAUUAAAUUAAUUAAGAUUAAAUCUUCCUGCAAUCAUACUUGUUCAAGCUUCAAGUGUUCUCUACAUUCACUAAAUUUUAUAAAAGUAUCUUCUUACUUUUUCUACUCUAUAGCCUUUCUCUUGUGAUGGAAAAUAAAUUCUUAACAAGCAUAGACUUGGAUAGGCUAGAAACCCUUUUUAUAACAAUAUUUCAUAACUUAGAAGACUUUACACUUCCUCCAUCAAAGAAGUGAAUUUAAUAACCUUUAGCACUUCGAUUAUGAAAAUGAUUAGUAAACUAUAAUGCUAUCCCUUGAAAUAAAUAAGUAGGUUAUUAAUAUAAGUUUAUCUAUUUAUUUAAAAAAAAUCACUUAUCAUGUGGACUAUAUAAUGAAACUUUGUGGAGAUAUAUCUACCCACAUUUAACUAUAUAAUGAGAUAUGAAAUUAGAGGUCCAAGGAGUAGUACUCAAAUCUACAACCUCAAAAGUUGAGGUCGUGGCAGGCAAAAGAAAAAGGAGAACCACGUGUUGCUGGAAAAGGAACUUACAUGAGUAACUGCAAAUUAAGCAAACACUAAAUUUUUCCCUCUUUAUAUGAUAAAAUCGGAAUGUGUAUAAAAAAUAAACAAGCAAAAAAUAAAACCAACACAAUUGAAAACAAUAAAUCAACCAUAAGAGAUACAAAUUAUUUUAUGUGGAAAACUCAAAUCGAGAAAAAACCACAGGACCAUACAGGGGCGGAUGCAUCAUAAGACCAGUGGGGACUUGAGCCCCCACUAGGCAAAAAAAAAAUUCUAAAAUUGAAAGAGAAAAAUAUUUUCGUUUUCUAAUUAACCCCCAUUAAUUUAUUAAAAUAGUCACUAUAAAUUAUAAAACCCUAUAAAAUUUAAACUUUAACUUUUAAAAAUUAUAAAAACUUAUAUUUUAAUUAAAAAUAAUAAUAGCCCACCACCCAAAAUAUUUUAUAUUCUUAAAAAUAGGAUUAAUUCUUCAAGUUUCUAUAAUAAUAGUAGAGCGAACGUUUUCAGUAAUGAAACUCAUGAAGAAUCAUCUUUGGAAUCGGAUGGGAUAAAUGAUAGUUUUGUUGUUUAUAUAGAAAACAAUAAAUUUAAUAAUAUUGAUAAUGAGUUUAUUGCAUAACAUUUUUAAAAUAUGAAAAUGCAUAGAGAAUAAUUAUAAAUGUAUUAGCAAAUAAUUUAUAUAUUCAAAAUUUUAGUUUUUCAUAUUUUACUACUAUCUAAUUUAGCCCCCAGUAAAUUAUUUUUCUAGAUCCGCCACUGGGACCAUAGUCCAAUAUAACCUUCCAUUAUAUUAAUAAUGGGAUUACUACACAAAUUCUUCUCUAAAUAAUACUAGAGGCAAACAAUAUCAAGAAUCUCAACAAUCUUGCUCAUAGUAAUAGUCUAAUAUUUUUCAUUCUAACAAGUGGGUAUCUUAGAUAACAACCAAUGAGAGAAUGAAAUAAAAAUCAAGACCAGUAAGAAUGUAGAGGGCGAUGCCAGAAAUUGCCUUCCAAAUUUGGGAGAUUAAGUUUGCCUUUCGAUCGUCCAUUCAAAGAUUAAAAUCCUUACCCCCAAAUUGAGUUGGCCAUUGUCUUCUUUUUCUCUCUCAUCUUUUCUAUGUUUUUAAGGCUGCUGCUUCACUUGUCUACUUUUUCUUUUAUAGCCAGGUGAUUUUCAAAGCCAAAUUUGAUGGCAAUUUUCAAUUAGCCAUAACAUAUUUCCUUUAAUUUCUUAAACACCCAAACUAAUGGAAACUUUGGUUUGGGCCACCCAAAUGAGAUGGAUUCAACAAAUCUUCCCAUCAGAUCAUAUGGGGGGCACUACCAAGCCCGUUCUCUACUUACAGUCUUUCAGCUUCUCCUUGGGCAACGACUUUGUCAUCAUAUCUGACACAUUCUUCAUGAAUAUAGUCAGGCUACAACUAUUUCUUUUCAAGCACGUCUUGUAUUCAUUGAUAUCUCACCUUAUAUGCUUGAAUUUCGAAUGGUAUGUUAAAUUCAUUGCCAAGUGAGAGCACUUUGAUUAUCACAGUACACGACAUAGCUAUUUUGUUUCACAUCCAGCUCUUGUAAGAAAUUCUUCACCACAAAGGGUUUUAGUGAUUGCAAUAUACUCUGCUUCUAUGGUGGGGACAACAACACGAAGUUUGAAAUCCUCUUAGACUACCCCCUGCAAAGGUAAGCAAAUAUCCUGAUAGGAAUUUUCUAGGAUCAACAUCUCUUGCCAUAUAUGUUGUACACUUAUAACACAACUUGUCACCAUUAAAACAUAAACAUGUCUUGGAAGUGUUCUUUGCCUGUACUAUAAAGAAACUGACUGAGUACACCGACUGCAUGGGCAAUAUUUGGUACAAGCCAUGGCGUACAUCAGUCUGCAAAGUGUUGAAGCAUAAAAUAGUCCUUUCAUCUGCUGCUUCUCUUUCUCGCUUGUAGGAAAAUGCUUGGAACUAAACCUAAAAUGGCCCGCAAGUGGAGAACAAACAUAUUUUGCCUUGCUCAUGUUAAUUCUUUCAAGAGCACUUUCAAUAAAUGCUUCUUGAGAUAACCAUAACUUGCCAAUUUUUCUGUCAUAGGAAAUCGUCAUGCCAAGAAUGUAUUUGUCGAUCCUUGGUCUUUUAUUAUAAAUGACUUGCUAAGCUUUUUCUUUAGAUUAUCAAUCUUACUAGCAUCAUGGUCAACAAUCAACAUAUCAUCCACAUAAAGCAAAAGAAUGAUAAAAUUAUUAUCACCAAGCUUCUUUACAAAAAGACAAUGGUCAGACAUAAUCUUGCUAAAACCAUGAUUCUCAAUAAAAAAAUCAAACUUUUUGUAAUAUAGUCUUGGUGCCUAUUUCAGUCAAUACAAACUUUUCUUCAACUUGCAUACACUUUCUUUGUUGCCUUUAACAUUGAAUCAUUCAGAUUGCUCCAUGAAUAUCUCCUCCUUUUAAGUCACCAUGCAAGAAACGCAUUCUCAUAUCCUAGAGACUUUCUAUCCAUCAACAUCCAAGAUUUAUCCAUAUUUAGACUAUUAACUUUCCUACAAAUGCAUCACAUUUCAUUUGUUCAGUUUUAUUAAUAUUGGAGUUUGAUAUUGUUUCCAACUAUAAGAACAACUAUUAAAGUUACAAAAUCAACAAGAAAACAGCAGUUAAAAUACAAUAAAAAAUAACACUUAACAGCAAGAGAAAACCUAUAUCUUCAUCAUGACUAAUUAUAACACUAAUAUUAUAAGCCAUAUACCAUAAAUCAUGGAAAGAGCAAAUAAUAUAAUUUUCAAAAAAUAGAGAAAUAGAAAAAAAUAGAAGUACCUUUUGCUAUUCGUUCCAAGAAUCGCGGAGCAGGUAACAACUUAAGAGACUAAAUCACGACUAAAAAUAGAGAAGAAUAGAAGCAAGACUUGUUUUUAGAUUUCUACUGAAAAAGACAAAAUUAUUGAAAUAAAACUUGUCCACGACAAUAAACUAGCUAGCUAUUGAAAUGAUUUAAACAAUCCAUAAAUAAAGUAUUAAAUUAAGUAUGCAAAUGUCACAUGUAGCAAAACAACAUAUGCAAUAUGAUGAAAUUUCAACAGCAAAAUUGGGUGUUAAAACCGUUAAAUAAAAUCCAUUUUUCCAUUAGAGAAAUCUAAAUUUUGAGAAUUUUGGUUUAGCUUGCUUUGGUCAAACUCAGUCACUCUGCACAGUGACAAAGAAAAAGAAGCAGUUGAAACAAAAUGAGAGUGACAUUGCAUAGACUUGAUAGUGAAAUGUCAUUUUCUUGAUGCUAAUUUAUUCCGUUUCUAUUUGGAAUGAUUGAUACAAGCGGAAAGGUGUUAAAGAAUUGCUUAAAAUACUUUAUAGGGGCAAAGAGCAAUUGCAGCAGUUUAGCCAUGUCAAUAAGUAAGAACUUGACCAGUAUGUAAAGUUCACAAAGUAGCUAGAAGAACUCCCGAGAAGGCAUUAGUAGAAUGUAGCCACUAUAAAAAUUUCCACAAACAAAUUAAUUUAUAAAAAAGCAGUGGAUAAGGAGUUAAGCAUACAUUAAUUUGUUUUUGGAACAUACAGCGAAAUUUCCAUAUUGGCUACUAUUCCACUAAUGGUUUCUUUCCACAAUUCCCAAUAUUAAGAUCUAUUGAAAACUAAGCAUACAUUAAAUUGCUUGUGGAAAUUUACAUAAGUCAAUAUAACAGCAGUUGAACUGGAUGCAGUUUGGGUGGAGAAAAAUAGUUUCUGUUCCUAAUUCCCAUUAUUAUGUUCUAUUGAAAAUUAAACAUACAUUAAUUUGUUUCUGGAAAUUUACAUAAGUCAAUAUAAUAGUAGCUGAACUGGAUGCAGUUUGGGUGGAGAAGUAGUGAGCGCUGGUUUUGGUGGAGAUGUUGGAAUUAAAGAGGUACUAAAUAACUACAACUUUAAAUCAAAAGAAAGGUUUGUGCUAAUAUUUGCCAUGCAUAACUUCAACUUUAAAUCAAACUAAUGCUUACAAAUGGCAUGCAUCCAUAUCCACCACGUCGCAUACUACAUCACUCUUAUAAAUCUUUCUAAUGGAGAAAGCAACACGACAUUAUUCGCAUUUUUGUCCCUUUCUUAAUCUACUAUAUUUUGUAAGGUGCUGGAUAUUUUUCUGUUGAAAGUCCUAUCACAUCGAUUAGCGCCUUUAAAAUUAUGUUCUCGCUAUUGUUGAUAUCAAUUAUCACAUUGCACACCUUAUCUUUGAUGGUGCCACGUGUUCUGAAAUCUUACUGCACUAAUUAUCCUCUUCAAAUCUUGGUGCUAAUAAAAUCUUCUACAUAGUGUAAUUCAACAUCUCUCCUUCAUGUACCUCUAACUCUAAAGCUUCUUCAUCAUCCUCAUCCUCAACAUUAUUCAUCUCUGCUUAGCCAUAGCGUUUAUUUUCUCUCUUUCAAAUAUCAAAUAAUGGUUAAUAUUUUCUUCAGGAUUAUCUUUUCUUUCUUGCUUGUGAUGCUGCUGCUGCUGCUGCUCAUGAAUGAUAAAGUGGCGCUAGGGCAAGAUGGGGAUCCCGUGGGAUCAACACAAGGAGGAGGAGGAAGAGAAAUGGUGCCUGCCUUGUUCAUUUUUGGAGAUUCACUUAUCGAUAAUGGCAACAAUAACAAUCUUCCUUCUUUUGCCAAAGCAAAUUAUUACCCCUAUGGUAUCGAUUUCAAUGGUGGCCCAACUGGCCGCUUUUCUAGCGGCUACACCAUGGUCGAUGAAAUUGGUAACUCUCUUUAUCUAUGCAUUUGAUUUAUAUUUUUAUAAUUUUUUUUCCUUUUCAAAAUCCUGAAGGUACAUGAAAAUUUAUAUACACCAUGAUUGCAUGCAAUGCAGGGUAUUUUAAUUGCUGAUCUGACAAAUUAUUAUGAUUACUUCUUUGCUAGCUAAAAAAAAGCAUAAAACAGAUGUCAUUUUUAGAUUUUUCUCCUUUGUAAAUUUGUGUCACACUCUUGAGCAUAGUUAGAAAUAUCUGUGAAGUGAGUUUCAUAGUCAUGGCUUCAAUGACACAAAUCCAAAUUCAUUACAAUUAAUUAAUUGAUUUCCUACUUCUAUCCCUUUUAAAAAAAAUAACAAAAUAAAAGUACUUGUUUAGUUAUCUAUUUGGGGAGGGGGGGGGGGGGGGGGAAGGAAAGACUAUUGCCGUUUAUUGCUCUGCCCCUACCUCUAUAUGUCUCUUUGGGAGGGCUCGCACUGUCCCAUAAUAUUUAUUUCUAAACAAUCACAGUCAUUAUCUUAAAUCAAUAAAAAUAACAGAAUUUUUUCUUUUAUUUUUUACAUUUAUUAUAUCUACACCCACUUAUACCUAACUUGUAUUAAUCCGCAAGUACGAUCUGUUUGGGGAUAAAUUCACCAUAUCUGGUAGGCAUGUCUUAUUAAUGGCUAAAAGCUUCCAUAUGCAUAACCUCUUUAAAUUGUGUCCCCUUUCAAAGAAAAUUUUCUUUUUUGUCCAUUAGCUUUUAUUUACUCUUCACAAAUAUUUUUAAUGUCAUAUUAACCAAAUCUUGUAAAUUCAUCCAUUCAGCUGAACUACUGGGACUUCCUCUGAUUCCUGCAUACUCUGAGGCUUCCGGUGCACAAGUGCUUCACGGAGUCAACUAUGCUUCUGCUGCUGCUGGAAUCCUCGACAUCACCGGAAGAAACUUCGUAAGGACUCAUAUAUCUAAUUCAAACGAACCAGGAUUCCCUUUUGAUCUGAAUUUUAAUUAGAGGAUUCUAUAUCUAACACGAGAUCCGAUCAUUAGUAGAAAAUGUUUGCUGCAUGGUCAGGUAGGUCGCAUACCGUUUGAUCAACAAAUAAGGAAUUUUCAGAACACACUUGAUCAGGUCACUGAUAAUCUCGGAGCAAGUGAUGUAUCAAAUGCAAUUGCAAGAUGUAUAUUUUUUGUAGGAAUGGGCAGCAAUGACUACCUAAACAAUUAUCUCAUGCCCAAUUACAAUACCAAAAAUCAAUACAAUGCUCAGCAAUAUGCUGAUCUUUUGGUUUCAGAAUACUCAAGACAACUCACAGUAAGAUUCAAUUUCACUAUAUUUACAUUUUUUACCAUAUGCAUGCAUUUUAGUUACUUUUUUUUUUAGCUUGUAAACAUAUUUAUAUAACUUGUAUUAAGUAUUGAUUGAAAAUCUACAGACCCUUUACAAUUUGGGAGCAAGGAAAUUUGUGUUGGCCGGAUUAGGAAGAAUCGGAUGUAUUCCAAGAAUUUUGGCUCAAAAUCAAAUGGAUCGCUGUUCAGAAGAAGUGAAUCAACUUGUUAUGCCUUUUAAUGCAAAUGUGAAGACUGUGAUUAACAAUCUUAAUGCCAAUCUUCCUGGUGCAAGAUUCACCUUCAUUGACAUUGCCCGCAUGUUUGAAGAUCUCCUCACCAAUUAUAGAUCAUACGGUAUGCAAUUUUCCCACUAAACAUAUCGUAUUGUAGUUAGAUAUGAUGUGUGCUGUCUAGCCUAAAAUCUUUUAUUUUAAAAUGUGCGGACACUGACAAAAGAUAAUAAAGAUUUCGUCCUCAUAUUUUAAAAUCAAGGAACAAUUUACAGUGGCUGAACUAGGAUUUUGAUUUGACAAGCACGGCCUAGAGGUGGAAAUAACGGAGAAAUUAUCGUCUUG